rnacentral:lncRNA from 1 species
UUUUUUUUUGGGUAGAAUUAUGCAUAUCAUUUAUCCACAGAAAAAGCGCAUACAAGAUUAAUCUUUUGAAUUGUUUUUUUGGUAGAAUUAUCCAUACCAUUUAUCCAUGGAAAAAGCGCAUACGACAGGGAAUGCUGCAAAGGAAAACGCUACAUUCACUAGGGAAAAUAUCCCCACAGCAAUUCCACAGUGACAACCAGUCACCACCAGCAAUGGCUGCCAUAGAAGACUUAAAUCUUCAAUAGAGUGGCAAGUUAAGAGUUCAAAUUUUAUUUUCUAUAAUUCUGUCAUUACAUAUGGAUUUUCCAAAUUUAUAUCAGUCCCUUAGAGCAGGCUACUGUCGGUUUCACAAUGAUCUAGUUGGACCCCCUCAUGGUAGGUUAGAAUACGAGUAGAUAGUAUCAAUUGAUCAAAAAAAAAAUUCACAAUGACAAGCAACUAUACUAUUUUUAAUAAUACUAAACAAUAGUGUUCUACCCCUGUAUGUUAGAUAUAAUUUCUCUCUUUAGCGCAAAUUUAAUGAAAUUAUGAUACUUGUUAAAAAAGUUACAUCCCUAGAUAAAUAUAUUAAAGCCCGUUUACGAUUGCGAUGCGUUUAAAAAAAAUGCUUUUAAAUACUAAAAGUACUUUUGACGUGUUCGAUAACUAUUUAUCAUAACUUAAGGAGUUCAGAAUUUUAUAACUUAAAAGCACUUUUAUUGAAAUUACUUGUAUCAAAUGUGCUUCUUUAUAACUCAACGCAACCCCAAACUGGACUCAAAUCAAUGAUGUGUUUACUCUGAACAACCGGCAUGGAUACAGUAAGCGGAGAGAAUAGAAUUUUUCCUAACCCUAUAUAUAUCAUAGGGGAGUCGCCUAUUAUGUGUAGCUUAUAGAGUUUUUUUGCCACAAAACCUUUCUAUUAGAAAAUAAUCCCAACCUAAUUCAUUUGCAAAUCUUAUUCCCUUUCUGAUAUCUAUAGCCACAGACUCCAAAUCACUGAAACACAAAUCAUGCUUGAUUUAUCUUUGGAUCUUACCGUUUUCUUUGUUCCUGUUUUCCAUUAUUCUCAUUUUCUAUCUCUAUUAUGUGGUCCUCUCUUCUUUUUCAUUCUUUUCUUUCUUCUUUUCAAGUCACACAACUCCCGCCUAGUGUUCAUACCCAACCAACCAAGUUUCACAUAAAAUUUAUCCUUGGUAAAUUGUUACUAGUUCUAAUUCGGUACUUGUAUAUGAAACAUCAAAAGUAAUUAAGGUUAUUCAGUAAUAGUAUAAUAAUUUAAAUGAUAUCAAAAUUAGUUUAUAACAUGCACACAUGUAUCCCAUUGAUCAAUUUACUAAAUUCAAUACGUUUAGGAUGCAAUUGCUUAUGAUGAUACUUGAUUUUAUUAUUAUCAUUCACCUAUUCGUACUAGUUUCCUUUUUCCCUUUUGUUCAUUGGAUAUUUUUCCCUUCCAAUUACAAUCAUUUUAUUUUUUGAGCAACACAUAGUAGAAAAUUUAAUUACUCUUUCAUAGAACUAAAUUCCUCUAUGAUUGAAUCAAUCCUAAAUUUUUCAAUAACUUACUUUUCUAUGUACAUGGUUAGACAAUCAUUCCAGAAAUUAUUUUCCAUCUUGUUUUGGAGCUUUAUCUUCAUAAUUGAAAAUGUAUGUUCUGUAAUUACAGUUGAUACAGAAAGAGUGAAAACAAGUCUAAUCAAUCUAUCAACAAGAGAAUAGAUCACCGAUUUUCUUGUCUUCACCGACCCUUGAAGUAAUUAUUUGUAUAUGGGUCAACAAAAGAAUAGAUAACUGAUUCUAAAUCUUUUAUUAAUUGAGCUAAGUUGUAUAUUUGUAUAUGGGCCAAUAAAGUGAUUAUUUUUGUUUUAACCCAUUGAUAAUUAAGACUUGGGUUUUUUUUAUUAUAAUAUAUCAAAUUGGAUCAAUUUACUAUGGAUCAUCAAAUUAUUUAUUUAAUUUUUUGAAAAUUAAAUGAUUAGCACAAUAAAAAAUAAAUAAUAUUUUUUUGAAGAAAAAAUUAUUUCAAAGGUGGCUAAUUUAUAUUUAUAUAUAAAAUUUCAUAAUAUAAACUAAAAUUGUAAAAAAUUAGCCAAGACCAACUUUAUUUUACAUAUAUAUAUUUACACACUAUAAAUUAAGGCAUUGCUCCUCAGCCCGUUGGCUCCAUCAUUGAUUGCAUAUACGGUUCAUACCUGUCAAAAUUCUCAUUCUAAAUAACAAGUAAACAGCCUAGGAAUUAGGAUGGCAUACACUUUGAAAUUGAAACGCUUCAAAGAUUUUGUUUAUAUUGAAUGCAAAUUUCUCCCCUGAUGAGCAGGCCUUUUUCUUAUUUUUUAUCAUGGCAAAUAGGAGAUAACAAGGCAAUAAGAAAAAAAUCACUAUAAGAACAAAAUAUGGAAGUUUAUAUCAAAAAGAUUACUAUGGCAAAAACUCGUAGUAUAUAUCACUAAUUUUUUUUUAUAUAUCACCAAUUGUUCAACAUUUUUUUCCUCCUUCUAGAAAAGUUUAGGUGGUUUCUGAUUUUUGUCUUUUCGAUAGUCAGCGCAUGUGACUUGGGACUAGUUGCGAAUUUUUCCAUAUUUUAUUAGCUGUUUAUACUUUAUACUACUAGUUUCCAUUUUAUACGUAUAAUCUUUCCAUUUUAUACAUAUAAUUAUCAAAAUCAUAAUCUUGGGAUUGAUGAGAUUUUCUUGGAUUGGUAAGAUUUUACAAUAUCAUCUGUUAAGAAAUCACGUAAUCGGUUGCUACAAAUUGGCUAAUUCCAAUUCCCCUCACACCUUAUUAUUAUUAUUAUUUUUUUUUUCAGCAUACAUAUGAAUAACCACUUUAUUCUAGUUGAAGGAAAAAAAAGAGCCUAAGGAGGUUGUAAUAAAAAUUAGUGAAUAUACAAACUCAACUAGAUCACAUAAAUAUUAUGACAUAAUUCUUAAAUUUUGUUCGCUGCAAAUCAAUUUGAACUCUCACUUAGAGUCCAAAAGUCCCUCGUAUGGCCUCCGAGCGAUUGUUCCUCACACCUUAGUUACUCUCUCAAAUUUCGCCAUUCUCCAUUUCCAUAAUUUCUUAACGCUAAUUUCCUGUUUCUUCUUCACUCUCUCUCUCUCUCUCCACCAGAAUCCAGUCACUCUCUCCAUUUGCCCUUUGGUACUUGGAGGCUGCAUCAGCAUUCAGCAGCAUAACAUAUCUCAAUAUUUUCUUCCGUUUUGCUCUCAAAAUGCAGAAGGGCCCAUAUGGUCAAGUCGGGUUGGCACUAGCUUCUUGUCAAAGAUGAAAUAACUGAAGAAUCCGUAGAGCUUAGGCUGAGAGUCACUGCGGCAAUGGUAAGAAUCGAAUAUGGUUUCUUUUCUUUUUUCAUCCGUUAAUAAUUAGCGCUGCCUAAUUUAUUAUGCUGUUUCUUUUUUCCAUUUUUUCCAUUUGUUGAUUUGGGUUUUGGAAUAUCCAGCUAUAAUUUUCUGGGAUCCAUGAGUUCUGAAGAUUGAAUGAAUCCCCUAGCCUGCAGAAAAUUUUCAGCUAAAAUUUGUUCCAGCAUCAGCUACUUAGGAUUUGGGUGGUGGGGAGAGGGGAGGGUAUAAAGCUGGUAAUGGUUGUCGAUUUGCUUAAAGCUUCGCUUACAUUUCACAGUCACAAUGGUGAUACUUGUUUUCUCCGAUUACUGGGUACAUAAUUUUUUAAACUGAAAAAAAAAGCAUUCAAUUUUGUUCAAUGGUUGGUAUAGAAAUGCUCCUUCUGGGAUACGAAAUUUUAAAUGGAUUUGUGAUGCCAUUAGAGUAAUUGUUACGGACAUUAUCUACCAAAAAAGUGUAAAAAAAGGACUGAAUCUUUGUUAGUACUGUCUCAAAAAGUUUUGAUUGAUAUCUUUGCUUAUUAUAUGCCAUUAACUUCCUGUAAAGCAAAAAUAGGGAAGAAAAAAAGGUUGAUCUUUACUUUGUCUUGAUUGAUAUCUUUGCACAGCAUGUUGCCAUUAAUUUCCCAUGCAGCGUUCCAAAAACUUUGAUUGUUGUUUCCAAACUUGUGCACAUCAAAUACUGAUAGAACAAUAUAAUUUUUGCCUUUUAAUUGUGGUGCAUUAAAGUCUAUACUAGCUUCAAUUUUCAGUCGUGGCAAAACUAAUGCUAUCCUUGUAUCGACCAAUUUAUCCUUUUGAAUUCAUUUGUGGAUCAGCUAUCGGAAUUUGAAAAUUAGAAUGUAUUUGGAAUGCAUUUGCAUUUAUUGUUAACCAUGGUGAUAUACAAUGAAGAAGUUCAAUGUUCUGUUCUGCAACUUUGAACUUCUUGAACUUUGGUUAUCAAUAUACAGCUUUGAAAAAGAGGAAAAAAAAAAGACACUGUUGAGCGGUGUCUCGUUCUUUUAUGUGUACAGAUACCGUGCAUCUUAUAUAAACAGUUUGCAAUGGAGACUUGUUCAACUGAGACAUAGUUAUGCUAGUUUCAAUUCUCCCCCAGUUAUCGUUUUAUCUUUUAGUUUUACUGAGUGUUAACGAAUAUUUGCAGUAGAGCAUUGACUUCAGUGUUUUGUGGUCCAGAUGGCUAAGGGGGUCGAUCAUAUGCUCAAGAGGUAUAACCUCCGUCCUCGUCCUACUUGCAGGAAAGUGCAAUGUAAUGUAUCCCAUUGCGUCCCAGAAUCUAAGACGCAUACCUUAUAUCCUGAUGCUAAUGAUCAGAAGAUACGGCGGAGACCUUCUAUACCUUAUCUUUCACCAGAAAUUAUCUUCAAUAUUCUUGUCUACCUUCCUGCAGACAUACUUUACAAUGUGAUGAGGUAUGUUUGUCGAGAGUGGUACAACAUCAUUUCUAGUCCUACAUUCAUUGAUGCACACCUCCUAAAGGUGGACAGGGGCAUGCUUAUCAAGCAAAUUCUUCCAGAUUGCAAUAUACAUUAUGUCAAAAUGGUGAAGAAUGAUCUUCCUGAGAUCAUUGAGGUAGACUCUUCUCAUUUGCCAAAAUAUGGUAUGAGCAGUUGUAAUGGUUUGGUCUCGAUGGCUAAAAGUCAAGAUGGAAAUCGCUAUGUUGCAAAUUUAGUUACAAAGGAAGUGACCCUUCCAACUCCUCCAGCUGCAGACAGUGCAAGCGCAACUUCAAGUUUCGGGGGGGGGGGGGGGUAUGGGGUAUACUCGUUCAAAGAAAUAUAAACUGGUUUCGUUCUACCUUAAUCAGAGGAAAUUGGAAGGUGGGAUACUAACGCUUGGUGUUGAUAGAGAAUGGAGGUGCCUUUGCCUACGGAAUGAGACUAGGGAAAUUGACAAUUUUGGAUUUGACUUGCUUUUCAACAAGCCAAUUGCUAGUGCAGAAGGAAUUUUGCAUUGGACACAUUAUAAGUUUCCUUUGGUUCUUAAUUUAGAUCUUGAAACUGAGACUUUCUACACGCGUGCUGCCCCAAAAUGUCCCGAGAGGAAAAGGAGGACUUAUAUUGGAACUGGGCAGUCACUUUGUUUCAUGGAUUACUUGGGGAGGUUUUCAUGGGAGCUCUGGUUGCUAAAAGAUGCAGAAGCUGGUGAAUGGACUAAGUUGGCCAUUAUUGAUCUAGGACCUCAGGAGCAAAUGCUUCGGCGCACUUUAUGUCCAGCAGGAUUUCGAAUUGUGCCUGUUGGUUUUUUGAAAGAUGGGGAAAUUGCUGUCCUCUAUGUCGCACACGAAGAUGGGAUUCCACAUGGAAGUUACUACUACCAUCAUAAGACACAUCCAUCAAGAAAUUGCAUUACGUAUAAUAUGAAGACAGGAGUCAUCAACUCAUUUCACUUGGAUAAGGGUAGGACUUUGGAAAUGAGUAAGAGUUGGAGGUAUAUUCCGCAUGUCAAGAGCUUGGUUUCUCUAAAAUUUUCAGCUAAUUAGUUGCUUCUUUUUGUGUUCCCAAAAAAAAGGGGAAAUUAGUAUGAGAUGGAGGAAGAGGGAUAGAAGAUUGCUUGGAAUUAAAAUAGGAUCAUUGUUGUGAGAUGAGUCUUUCUUUCCUCCUUAAUUUAUUAAUGUAGUGAUCAUGACGGAUAGGAUUAAUUUGGGUGUAAUUUUUGGUUUCACUCUUGCAUUAUUUUCUGAGCGUAGGAGUAUUGAUAUUUUCUGUUGGUAUUCAUAACUUUCUAUUACUUAUCAAAGUAGUUGCUACGUUUGGAAAAUCUUGCUUUACAGCCACAAAAGUUUUGAUUUUCAAUGUCAUUGCCUUCAUUUAUUCACUAUAAAAAUUCCCUCUUUCUUGGGUGGCUCGCUUUUCCAUGAUGAUCGUAUCUAGCUUGACAUAUGUACAGUUCAGUUCACCCAGCCAUCGGAUGUUCCUCGAACUUGACUUGUGUAGUUUUGGAUGUCAGACCGUAUUUAGCUGCUAUGUGUAGUUUUGGAUGUGAGACUGUAUUUAGCUGUUAAAAAAACGGGGCAUAAAAGCCUGCGUUUUCAAGCCAUAAGUUGAAUAUUUACUCUUGGGGUUGACAAAGAAUGGAGACGUAUUUUUCAAAUGAAUGACACUUGGAGGUUUAAGGAAUUUGGAGCCUUUAUUUUUAUAUUUGAAAAGCCAAUAGCUACCGGAGGGUUUCUGCUUUGGACACAUGACAUGCUUCCUUUGAUUCUGAAUUUAGAUCUUGAAACCGAGACUUUAUGCAUGUGUACGGCCCCAGAAUGUGCAGAAAUGAAAUACAGGAGAUACUUAGGAAUUGGGAGUACGCUUCGUAUAAUGGAUCGCUUGGGGAAGUUUCUGUGGGGGCUCUGCGUGCUAAAAGAUGCCGAAACUGGAGAAUGGACCAAGCUGGCCUCUUUGGAUCUGAGACCUCAAGAGCAAAUGCUUCGGUCCAGUUUAUGUCCGCCAGGGUUUCAACUUUUGCCUGUCGGUUGGUUAAAAGAUGGACAGAUUGCUAUCCUCUGCGUUGAAUAUGAAGAUGGGAUUGAACGUCAAGUUGGUUACCAUGAGCAGACACAUCCAACGGGAACUUGCAUUACGUAUAAUUUUGCUACAGGAGCCGUUAACUCAUUUCAACUGCGUAAGGGUAGACCUGACGAUAUGCAUCAGAGUACCAAAUAUAUUCCUUAUGUGAAGAGCCUGGUUUCUCCGAGAUUUGCAGCUACUUAGUUAAUUCUCCUUAUAUUCUGCAAAACUUGGGAUGAGAAAGACAUGGAAAAUGGAUGUUGUUGGAAUUGGAUCAUUGGUGUUAGGUGACGUCUUAUUUUUGGCUUGAUUUAUUUAACUUUUGAAGAAUUAAUAAGUUACUGAAAUGUUAAAAUCAAUCUACAUACUGUCUUGCAAUAAUAAAGGAGUAUUUGAUGCUUUCUUUUGCUUGCAUAGAAAUUUACCUUUCGAAUAGCAACUGGAAAAGGACACUAAGCAUAGAAAUUUACCUUUUCCAAUAGCAACUGGAAAAGAACACUCCAGAGAGGAUGAUAAUAGCUUUCUUUAGCUAAGCCACAUAAGUCACAAGCACAUACCAUUCAACAAUUAUGACCGGGCAAAAUAAUUUGCAGUAAUCCCAAGGCGAGCAAAACAUAACCGAAAGACCUUUUAAAUGAUAACUUCAAGCAUCAUUCUCUCAAUCUGUGAUAGUGAUCAACGAAGUCUGUGUAUUUCAGAAAGCAAGGAACAGCAAAAUUGUGGUCAUCAUAGGGAAAAAAAAAAAAAAAUCUAAAAGAAGCUUUAUGAAGUAGUAAAUUCCAUGCCAGGUCCAGAAGCAAGCGACGUUAGUCAUCAUUUUACCUGUUUUGCUUCCUGCGAAAACAAAAAGCAAGAAUCACGCCUGUUUGGAAUAAAGUUUAUACAGUAUGAUAUUGAAAAUUCUUUGGGGGAACAAAAUAGCAACAUUGUUGUUGGUGAAGGAUUCAUUUGUUUUUGGCUUGUACGUGCUGAUGAAAGAUCUAAGCUACAUAGCCACCCCAUUUUUUCUCAUUACAUCAAAUAACAUAAACAUAUAGGCACAUUCUACGUCUGUGCCACUAAAAAAGAAAAAAAAAAUCAUUGUUUGACUAAACUGGAAUUAAAUAAUUUUAAGUAACACCAUGAAGUUUUAAAGCUUUCUUUUCUUAGGAGGCAGUUUAAACAUGAGGAUGCACAAUUUAGAGUCCAAAUUCUCCAGAAACUUCUUACAAUCUGUGUUAAUAUGCUGCCUUCAAUCAUUUGGUAGAAUCAGUUGCUAGGCCAUGGCCAUAGACUUAGAAUGGAGCAAUAUCAUGCCACCAGCUAGUAAAAAGCAGUCUUUCUUACCUAGUCCUAGCUUAAUACACUAUCAAAUACUGUUUGGAAUUAAAUCCAACUAUAAGUGAUUCAUGUCUUACUACCAUUCAAAUAAAGGUAUUUUAUGUUGCGGUAUUUAGAUGUCUGAAGUGAAAGAUGUGCAUUUCGAAGUUGGAGAUAGACAUGCAACUUAUUGUUAUGGAAACAAACAAUGGUACAUUUUUGAGUGAUAUUCGUGCAUACCUUUAUUGCUCUGGAAUUUGUCUUUGCUCAGCCUGGAGUAGAGAAUUUGUUAGAAUAAAGAAAAGUGAGUGUCUAGAGUGGGGAAUUUGUUGUCAAGAAUAAAGAAAAGUAAGUAAACAAUAUGGACAAAAAAGAGCAACAGAAAACCAUGUACCUGAAUUGAGUCUCUCACCCGUUCAAGUGCAUCGAUUUCCCACCUAAGCUUCUCAACUUGCCUCAAAGCCCUACAACACCAAAAUUAGUAACAUGCCACAUUUAUUUUUAUGUGUCUCAGUGUCCUUUACAACUUUGCAAAAAAAAAAAAAGGGAGAAACUAUUACUCUGCAUUUAGGCGUCUCCCCCCUGUAAGAGAUAGAUCCUGUCGUUAUUGUUUGUAAAACAAGAGGUGUUUACAAUCCUCCUAACUUCUUUAUUGAAAUCAACAUGCCUUAGCUUUGUUUGGGUGACACCAAAACCAGUUUUGAAUCCACGAGCCACCUUCUUUGCCAGCUCUGAUAGACUUAGAGGGCAAGAAGGAGUUGGAAAUUCUUAAAGGACAAAUUGGGAAACCAAAGACUCCAGAAGCAGGCGACCAUAAACAGAUUUACGGUCAGUGUCCACAAGGACGUCUUGAAUAAGUUUCUUCAACAACCUCUCUAGAACCAGUUUUGAUGUAGUUAUUUUGUUGGUAAUGUUUGAGCAUUAGUCGAACACUUAUAGUGAGUAUAAGUAUCCAACAACUCCUUUGUCUCACCCCCCGUCUCAUUUCAUAUCCUUCCCUUAGACUAAUAAGUGUCCGUACUAAUAUAACUCACUCUAACUGAAGAUAAACAAGAAAACAAAAAAAAAGGAUAAACAAAACCUUAGUUUGUUCAUAUAAAAAGAUAAACAAAAAAAAAUUCCUCACUAAUCCAAGGAAACAAGGUAACAAAAUUAAUUCACUGCAAGAAAAUUGGUCUUCAAUGAAAACAUGUUCUCGUCACAGAAUAGAAACAAGUUAUCAGAAAUAAAUUAUUAACCAGAUCUAAGUCGUCACUAGGUCAUCAGUAUAUAUCCAUCGGUAAAAGUCAACAGUGACGAGUUAAAAAGUCGUCAGUGAUAUACCAUUUUCAGUGACGAUAGUGGAGUUGCAGUUUUAUUGACGACCUUGCUAUGUUGUCAGAAAUACUUGGACAGGGUAACAGUAGAUUGUUGUCUGUUAUAUUACCAAAUUAGUGACAACAUUUUUCAUCACUAUUAAGUUUUCAGUCAGUGACGAAAUUUUAUUAUCACAGAGGAGUUUCUCUUGUCACCUUCUUGUUCUGUGACAACUUCAUUUUGUCAAUAGAGAUAUUUGAUUUUGUCAAUCGCUAAUAAAUACACAAUUUUGCAGUUGGAAUCACUCACAUAAAAUAAGUAGAAAUACUAAACUUGGACACUUAAACAAGCAAAACCGAUUACAACAUUACAAAUUCCUUGGCAAAAUAUCAUUUUUAGUACACAAAUGUCAAAUUCAAGGUUUACAUCACGAUCCAAAUAUGGCAUCUAAACAAUGUAACUUUACAAAAAGAAGUUCAGUCCAAAAAACAAGAAAAGUCCUAAAGUGAAGCACGGCAUGAGCAAAAGCUACUAGCCUCUCCAAUGUCUUCCAGUCAAAGCCAUAUUCUCUAAUAUUCAUCAGCCCAGUCAUAAUUCAUGAUCAUCCAAAAACAGCAAUUCAAUGGACAAAUCUGCAAUAAAUUAGCAAAGCAAGUAGGAUAUAAGAAGAUGAGCAAAACAGUAAAGAAGAUGCAAACUUAGACUCAAAGAAUGGAGUACAUUAACAACCCAAUAUAGCUAACGUUUCUGGGGAAAAAGAAAAAACCCAAUAUAGCUAAGGACCUAACAACAAGCCCCGACAGAAAACUCUAACUAAGUUUCAAAACAUUGCUUCUCCUAUUAGUCCUAUCAAUUAUGUGUAAUGGGAUGUAGAAAAUUGAACUCCAAUUUUAAGGCAAUUAAUCACGAAAUUAGAACCAUUUUGAGCCUUUAGUCAAUUGGCAUUCACAUAAACUAUUAUGUUGGAACUUAGUUGUAAUUAUGAAAUCUUGAUUUCAAAAGAAUUUGUUGCAACGUAAAUAAAGGAUUCAAAAUUCUACUACUAAUGUAGAAGGAUUACUGAGAUAACAAACACAUACACGGAUUAAACAUGUAGAUAUAAAUGUUUAAAAAGUACCUUUAACAACCAUGGCUAAUAUAUUAGUACAAAAUUUCAUUUUUUUUUUGGGGCAGUCCAUAAAUGAUGUGCUAUGUGGAGUAAUAUUUCUGGGUACUCGACUGUAUAAGCAAGCGAUGAACCAAGGGAAGACCAAUGCAAAUUCAACUGCAUUAGUGCUACUGAAUACUAGAAAUAUUGCUGGCUAUAAGCCUGUUGAGGAAAUGGUGGAACCAAACACUGAAUCAACAUGGGGAAACCAGUUUGGAUUUUUGCAUGUUUCGGUGCCAAGGUUUACCAAAAAGGAUUCCUCAAAUCCCCUCAAUUUUGUCUUUAAAGCCCAGAAAACCAUCAAAAGUAAAAGAGAUUCUGCAGCCGUUUAUCUAACUGGUCAGUUGCUAGAGACGCAGCGGAGACACAGGGGCUACAAAUUCAAAAGAUGCAGAAGCAACAGCCUGAAACUACUAUCUAUUAUGUCACUCCCCCACUAUCCUUAACAAAUCAAAUCCAAUCCCCAUUCAAGCUUCAAUCAACAGAGGUGCAUUAUGAAGUAAGCCCAUUAAGAAUCUAACAUGACAAAGAAAAUAGCUGGAAGCAAAAAAAACUCCAAUAGCAGCACAAGCCAAAAAAAAGUACAACUGGAUUAUAAUCUCACUGGAGUUUAAGGUUGUCCGUGGCAUUGUAACCAAAAUAGAUGUAAAAGAAUGCAACUAUCAAAGAGCAAGAUGCUUUACCAUCAAAGAUUGUCCAAUGAACUUCAUUGCCCUACUUCCUAGAUUGCAAUUUGGCUCUUAAAGCCUUAAGGAGAUCCUGCAUUUCAGUUUGCUGGUUUUGAUUUCAGUUUGUUGGAGCUCAAGCCUUUGCAUAAGUUGUUGUUGAGAUUGAACUUGAAUUUCCAACUCAACUGAGCGUUUCUCAGCUUGUUCUGCUCUCUUCUUGAACUCUUGAAUCUCUGCAAUCUUCUGUACUAUUAAGCUAGCUUUGGAGGGGCCAUGACCACGCACAUAUCCAGUUAUGUGCCCAGUAACUUCAAUGCAUAUGUCUUCCUCAGUCCUACUUGCACCACUAGCUUGAGAUUCCAACUACAUCUCUUUCAUCUUCCUCUACAAAAAUAGAUUUUCAAAGCUAAUAUAUGAAUAGGAGAUCUGAAAUAAUGAGAGUGAAGUUGAGAUUAGCAUUUUUCUUACUGAGUUUUUAGCUGAUAUGUCAUCAACCAUAGCAUUCUUCUUCCCGCUAAAGUGCGUCAUGUGACAAAGCUCUAUUGGUCCAACUAUCCUUCCCUCUUUUACUUCCUGUUUGCAUAAGUAGUUAAUAAACCCAACAGCUCACCCUAAAACACAUGUUUAGCAUAUUUACUUACCCUAUCGGCCUUAUGACGGAGAAAAGAUUUUGUCCCAGCUGUGUGAGCAGGUUUUUGCUUGGAUCUAUUCGUCUUAUUUCACUCACUUAUUGCCUGCAUUCGUGAAUUCUAGCUCUGAUCAGUAUACCAAAGACAUGGAUUAUUGGAAAUUAUCAAAUAUAUAUGGCACAUACCUUAAAUUCUGAACUAUAAAAGUAGUCACAUAGGUAAAUCCAGUCAGAUUCUUCCACAUAUGGUGGACGGUUUGCAAGAGCUUCCCUCUUUUGUCUCGAAUGUCCUAAAAAUCAUGUGAAAAGUAUAUCGUCGACUUCGGUGUUGCGAAUUGAACUGCUUAACCAAAGCUUGUUUGACAUGAUCUCCUUCAUCAUGAGUAAAGCUAUUCUGCACAAUAAUAGAAUUUAGAUCACAACCAGAUAAAAACAGAAAAAUGGCUAACUUAAUUUGCUAACCAGUUAAAUAGAAAAAUAACCAAAGGACAUGUCAACUUACAUUAGCAAUUUUCAGCAUUUGUUCUCUAUCUUCUUUAGAGAGUCGAGACCAUUUGGGGCCUUUCCAUUUGCCAUAUUUCUGAAUCACACAACUUGCUUCUGAAAUGUAUCAUUAAGCACCUUCUCCAAUGAAUCUUUCACUCAUUUCUGAAACUUGAACAUGCACCUUUUGCCCAGCCUUCUUUAUAUUUGACAAUGCAAUGUUACGAGUAAAUACCCUUUUACUCUGCGCAUUCACUUGGUCUAACAAUCGCAAAGUAAAUAACGCUUUAUAGCACUAGACUCAAAAAGCUUACAUCAUUUAUUUAAUAUGUAGCACAAUUUUGGACAGAUUUAACAUACCAUUUCCAUUUGAAUCAAGAUCCCUGCUAUUUCCAGUUUCAUUACUUUCGUAACCAAUGGACUGAUUGGAUCCAACAUUUUGUGAGGAAGGAGUACUAUCAGUUUGCAUCCCAAUAGAUGUGGGUAAUGCCAUCCCAUUAGCUAAAGUUUUUGUAGCGGUCUCCUUACCAUCAGCUUGGAUAUUUGCACAUCUUCUUCCAUUUUUCGUACCAUUCGAUGCUUCAGGAACCUAUAAUACAAUGAGUUAUUCACUGUUUAAUCAAAUAGUCAGCCAAAAGUUCAGUCACUAUAUGUAUGUUUAACCAAGUCAGAUAUUUAACAUACAAGGAGUUACCUCAGGCUCAUCAAAUAAACGGAUCCAAGAAGAUCUUUUUGGUAUGUUUAGACCAUUGACAUUGCUUGUAUUUGUAGAUACACUAUGUUGAAGUGCAACUUGCUACAGCCACAGAAAAAUUUGGUUUAUGAAAUUGUAAACUGCUCAUGAUGAAAAGUACACUUGGUUUGGCAAAUUUCAUUACUUGGGUGCUUGUAUUAGCUUCAGAUUGCAAUGCUCCAGCCUGAUCAUCGGACUGUCGAAUUGGUCAUACAAGAGAUUUUCCCUUUUUUUCCCGGCCCAGCCAUCUACCUACACAAUUACACAAUUCAAACAGCCCAAAAGCUAGAGUUAUAUCAUGUUAGAUUAGAACCAAAUUAUAUUCAUUUACACAACUACAUAUUUCAGCCAUGACACUACAAAGCAAAAAACAUUCACAAAAAAGUUAUAAACCCAUAAACAACAAACUACAAUAAAAAGGUAAUCCAGAAUAUUAGAUUACAAAAUUAUUUAAUCAGAUUCAUAGUCAUCACUAUCAAGAAUUUUUUCAUUUUCAUCCUCAGGACUUGAACACUGCUCAAUUUCAUCAUUAUCAAUAAAAAUGUCGUCCAUCAGCCUAGCAUGCCUAGAAGUCGAUUCACAGACAGCAGCUUCAAUCAUUACUUCAGCUAGUAGAUCUCCUCUUCUUCAGCUGGCCAAUUCGAUGUUUUCUUGUACACCACAUAGAUCUUCACGAUACUCCUCUUGAUAAGCCUCUUCACUGUCCUGAGAAUCAUUUUCAUGUUUCUCAAGAACAUCAUAGGAUGAACGGGGACUCGCUGUCUCUACAACAUGCCAAUUAGCUCCAAACUUCAAGUCCUUAACAUAAAACACUUGUUCAGCUUGGGAGCCUAAUACAUACAGCUGGCCCAGAUACCAUGUUCUUGACAUAUUGAUGCUAGUAAUGUUACAUUGUUUGUCUAAUUUGAUUCCGAAACUAUUUCUUAAGUCUCACCAAUCACAUUUAAACAAAAUUACUCAAUUUUGAGUAAAUGAGUAUUCAACUUCUACUAUAUCAGUAAUUACGCCAUAGAAGUUUAUCUCGUUAUUAACAUGAUCCCUCUUGACCAUAAUGCCAUUGUUCUACAUUUAUUUUUCUCUUUCACGGGCUUUGGUAUGAAACCUAAACCCAUUGACAUUACAACCAGCAAAUGUAUGCACCCGAAAAUCAGGUCCUUUAGCCAAUGACAAGAAUUCAUCACUAUAUCUCCCACGUGUAUGCAUAUAGGUUACCUAGCCAACCAAUUAAGAAGUUUUAAUAUUUAGUUCAACUAUGAAUUAAUUGAAAGUCAUAAGUUUCAAGAUGUAUAUUGUAUACUUAUACGCUCUUCAAACCAUUUUGGAAACUCUAAGUCUUGCUGUUGCUGAACAUUUCCUACAUUCUGCUUUUCAAGAUAUUCUCUAUGCUACCGAUUCAACAGUAGCUCACUUAUGUACAUGCUAUAACUAUGUUUUGAAUAAGACAAAUAAAACACUAAUUGUACUAAGUCUAAGAGAUUUAGUAUCAAAGUAUACUUUUACCUCAUAUAAUCAUCUACUUCUUCACAAUUCUUCAAGAUAAAUAGGCGUAUUUUCAGCAAAUCGGACUCACUAAAGUAGCUAUAUGUUGCUGCCCCAAAAGGCCGAGCCAUGACAGAAAACAAAGAUAAUUUUCCAAUACCUUCAAACCUUUCUGCAUUUCGUUCCCUUCGAUUAAAUUUGGUGGGAACGUUGUGCAAAUACCUAGAAAUGAAUAUAAGACAUUCAUCAUCCAAGUACCGCUCUGCAAUACAGCCUUCCGGCCUAGCCCUAUUACGAACAUAGGACUUGUAUUGGCCCAUUUUUCUAUUAGAAAAUCCAGUCGAAGUUGUUAACAAUUAAGAGAUUUAAGGAAGUGGGAACAUAUAGUGUUAAAUAUUACAGGGAAUAAUACCUCUCAAAUGGAAACAUCCAUCGGUAUUGUGUUGGUCCAGCAAUCUUAGUUUCAACAGGUAAAUGGACCAUUAAAUGCACCAUGACAUCAAAGAAAUUCAGAGGGAAAAUUUUUUCCAUUAGAACAAUAUUUUUCCCUUGCAUUUCUAACUCAUCUAAGUACAGAGUUCUGGAACAAAUUUUUCUAAAAAAAUUGCUGAUCUCCACUAAAACUUGGGAUACAUCUUUUGGCAACAUUCCUCUAAUUGCUAGAGGAAGAAGCCGUUGUAAAAACACAUGACAGUCAAGGCUUUUCAUCCCUAAAAGUUGACACUCAACUAUCUUAACACAUCGGGGUGUAUUUGAGGCAAAGCCAUCCGGAAACUUGAUAGAGCUCAGAAAUUGGCAAAAAAAAAUUUUCUCUACACGUGAUAAAGUGUAACAUACUGGUGGCAUAACUUUAGGAGUACCCCCUCUAGGUUGUAGAUGCAAUUCUUCUCUCAAUCCCAACUCUUUCAAAUCCUCCCUAGCCUGCCAAGUGUCCCUAGUUUUUGAAGGGAUACUCAUUAAUGUAUUCACAAUAUACAUAAUGUCUGAAUUGUGUCUUAUUUUGUUGGUACUCCAAUAUAUGGAAGUUCAAAGAAUAUGUUCUUCUUCUUCCAGUUUGAAGUGCUUUGCACGCGUUUUCCCUUCUUCUGUUGAAGCAAAUCAUGAGUGUUGCCAAACUCAGCGUGGUCAAUACCAAGCAGUUUUUUGAGGAUUUCUUCACCGGACAGAGUCAUAGGAGGUUGCCUAAGUUCUCACUCUCCAUUAAAUGGCUUCUUUUCUUGACACCAUUUAUGAUCAUUAGGCAAAAAACGACGAUGUCCCAUGUAACACAAUUUGUGACCGUUACUCAAAUAUAAACUACUAGUCUCAUCUAAACACAUAGGACAUGCUUUGUACCCCUUUGUACUCCACCCUGACAAAUAGCCAUAGGCUAGAAAAUCAUUUAUUGUCCACAAAAGCGCUGCAUGUAGUAUGAACUUCUCUCCCGUGAAGGCAUCAUAUGUCCCCACACCAGUGAAAAAAAAGUCUUUCAACUCAUCAACUAAUGGUCUAAAGAAUACAUGAAUAUCAUUUUUCGGGGCUUUAGGACCAAGAAUAAUCAUGGUUAAUAGAAGAAAAAAAGGAUCUUUCAAGUAUUUCCAGAGUGGCAAAUUAUAAGGAACGAGGAUUAUAGGCCAUAUGCUGUAUGAAUUAUUCAUGUUUCCAAAUGGAUUAAACGCAUCACUUGCAAGCCCAAGUCUCACAUUUCGAGGAUCUUCCGCAAAAGACUUAUGAUUUUUAUCAAAAUCUUUCCAAGCUAAUGAAUCUGCAGGGUGUCUCAUCAUGUUGUCACUGUCUACUCACCUCUCCUUGUGCCACCUCAUAUCACGAGCAAUCUCCUUGUUUAUAAAGAGUCUUUGCAAGCACAACACCUUUCUAGGAACCUUAGAAUUUGGAGAUUUGUACCGAGGUGCUUUACAUUUUUCAUUCAGGUGAUGAUCUAAGCCUUCAUUUUCUUUUCGAUAAAGUACACAAUCAUUUUCACAAGCAUGGAUUUUUUCACAUUUGAGCCCUAACUCACAGAUGAAAUUUUUUGCCUCAUAAUACGAACUAAGAAUUGAUGCCAUGGAAAAUACACUACUCAAGAAUUUGAAUAGCAUAUCAACAGAAUUACAAGUCCAGUGAUUCAUUGUCUUUAGGUGGAGGAUAUGGACAACAAAGGACAAUUUUGAGUACUUUUCACAACCUGGAUAUAGACUUUUUUCAGUUUUAGAUAAUAAUCUAAGGAACCUACUUGCUUCUCCUUCUUCCUUACCACAAGAAUCCUUAUCAUGUUCUGCCCCAUGUCUCCAAUUCUCCCCAAAGUUAGUAACUCCUACGUCAUUUAACAGCUCCUCAAUAUCAUCAGGGUCACUAUCUUCCUCAUUUGUAUCUAUAUCAUUCUCCUUAUCAUCACAUUCAAAACUUUCACUAUGAUAUAUCCACCUAGUAUAACUAUCCACUAUUCCUUCACACAGGCGGUCGGCCAUGACUUUCAAUGUCUGGUCAUCAAAGUUAUUACAUAUUUUGCAAGGACAUGGGAGUCUAAAAUUGGGAUCCUUGCCUAGAAAAGCAAACUUAAGAAAUUCAUCUACUUCGUCUAAAUAUUUGGGGUCUAGGUAGUUCUUAAUUGAUAUCCAGCUGUUAUCCAUCUUUUUUGCUGCCAUUUAUCCUAACAAAAAGAAUACAUCCAUAAUAUUAUUUUGAAAAUAGAAGUUCUAUGUAUGCAAAAUUAAAUUGCCCAAACAACAGCCAUGGAAGUCCAAUAAAGUAAAAACACAUUUUCACCGAAGUCAAGCAUUUCAGUAACAAAUCUCCCAUAGCAACAAUGGAAAUCCAACAAAAUAAAAACGCAUUUCACCAAAGUCACACAUGUCAUCUACAAAUCUCCCAUACAUAAAAGCACAUAAGUGUACGAGCACUUACAAGUCCUAUAAUUGCAGCAUACUCACAAAUAAAGUAGCACAUAUAUUUACCAGUAAGAAAAAGUGCAGCUUGAGCUUAGAAUGAUCUUAAGAUUCUGCAGUGAAUCCCAAGCUUAUGUGAAAGUGUUUUGAAUGCUGCAAACAGUGAGAAAUGAGUGAGAUAUGAGUAUUUGGAGGAGAAAAUACAUAGUACAUGCACUCUAAGUCCAUUUCUUGUAACUAGAGAACAUUUCUUCUGUUAUUCCUUCACCAAAGUGACUAAACAAGUAAGGAUCAGCAAGAUAUUAUUCCAAUGGAUCUCACUUCUCAGUAUCCUCAAGACAAUCAACCAUAAAAGAUUCUUACUAUUGCAGGUGAUGGUGCCUAUUGUCUUACCUUAUCAAAAUUUCUUAAUACUUGUUUUACCCUAUCAAAAUUUUUAUGUCAACGCAAAUGUUUCUUGCUCAAUAUCUUCUAAACCAAUUGAGCAACAAUAGAAUGGUAUGGAUUGAUCCUGGAAAUACAGGAUUAUAACCUCAAAUCCUGAGUUGGUCCAAUGAUACUGGACCAUAGAUUACACUCGUACCUAAAAAUGUUUAAAUUAACUUAUUAAUAACCUAUUAUCCAAUAUAUUAUUCAGCAAUCAAUAUUUUCAUAUUUCUCGACAUGGAUGUUAGAAAGCGACAAGAUGGGAUUGUAUUAUAUUGGGUAUGGACUGACCGAAUGAUAUUAUUUUAUCUUGGAUCAAGUUAAAAGGAUAAAGGAUAACAAAUAGAGUCCAAACUCCUGACUUGCUGAUGCUUCCCCCAGCUAAAAAGUGGAAAAUGACAAAGUAACUUAGACCUUCAUAAAACUGCUACCCAAUUUCUAAGCUCUUGAUUUUAAUCAAUCUUGACUGGAUAUGACCUGUGUUCUAAACAUCUAUUCUUUUUUAUCUUUGCUACAGUAGUGUACAAAAUUAAGAAUUUGUGACUACUAAUCCAAUCCUAGCUACUAGUUUCUACUUGUAAUUUGAGUAUUUAAAAGUAUAACUCUUGUAGUUACGAUUUUGACAACUUCGAUGACUAGUUUAUAAAUUGUUACAAGAAUAUGAACUUCGUAAGAUAAAACUCAAUUAAAACUAAAUUUGACUUGUAGAACUCUAAAAUUUGGGGAAUCAAGAAAUUAUUCGUGUAAACAACCAUAUAAAAGUGAUUGCACCCAAAAUUAAAAGAUUCAGAAAGAAUUUGGACACAAAUUUCUAAAAAAUAAGAAAUGCAAGAGUAGGGCAAAAUAUUUGUAAAACAAGUUUGGAAGAAAUAGGGGGGAAAGAGAGAGAGAAGAACCAAGCCACGGUGUGAGUCUGAGUAAGCUGCUAAGAGAGUGAGCUACCGAGAGAGUGAGCUAGAUUUGUUGUUUCGGGUAGAGAGAGUUCAGAGAAUGAGCUGAGAGGUUUUGAGGCAAAGAGAGGUUGGUUUUUGUCCGCCACUUCUACUUUGCCUUGUUUUGAACAAAAAUUUGCUUUUGCUUUGUCCGCCACUUCUGCACAAAAAUUUUAUGAAACUUUUUUUUGUUUUAAUUUUGUUUUAAGUAUAGAUUCUACUCAUACAAUAUUAUUCAUUUAUUGUUUUGACAAAAAAAUUAAUAUUUUUUUUUAUCAUAAUGGCAAUAUAGUUUCACUAAAAUAUAUUAAAAAAAUAUGAAAAAACGAAUUUUAUAAUGACAACAAUGUGUUGUCACUGAUUGUAGUCUCCUGCUUUCCAAUUGUUUGUUUGUGGGAAUAUACUUGUGACGACAUAUCAAAGCCGUCACUGACUAGUUGGCUCAGUCAGGCAAUUGUGAUGAGGUGAGAUGUCAUGAGUAAAGUCUUACCUUCUAUGAUGACUAUCUGUUGUCAUUGAAAAAAGUCGUCGAAGACUAAUUUUCUUGUAGUAAAGAUAAACAAAAAAUCAACUGGGGUUGGGCCAAGUGGUAAGCAGCUUGGUUCCGCUUAAGCAGGUCUCGGGUUCGAAACCUGGCGUAUGCAGCUACCCUUGUUGGGAGACUCACCCACCACAGCCAGGUGUGCGACCCGGGUCGACCAACGGAUUAGUCAGGGCAAAUCCCUGGAUACCGUGGCAGGCAACCAAAAAAAAAGAUAAACAAAAAAACUCCUCACUAAUAUGAGGAAACAAGGUAACAUUGAAGUUUUUACCUAUAUCAAUCAAGGUGGGAUGGUGGGAUCAUAGUUAUUAAACCCAACUCGGGAGGGAACCCGGCGAAUAAGGUGGGUCAACGGAUUAUUGGUUCAACCAAUGGGUGAGUGGUUGAACCGGUGGGUCACUAAAUAUAUUUAAAUAUUAUAUUUCAUAAUUUUAAAUAUAAGAUAUAUGAUAUAAAUUAUAAUAAAUAAUGUCAUAGCAAAUACUCAUAUAAUUUAAUUUGCUAUAAAAUAAUUAAUUCAUAUAAGAAUCAAUAAAAUAUAAAGUUAUUUAGUAAUACACCAAAUUUUAAGUAUAAAAUUUUAUCUAUAUUCAGUGUAAUUAUCUAACUUAUUUAUAAGUUUUAAGUGCAAAAAAUUAUUAAAAAUAAUAUUUAUCUUUAAAAUGAAUUAUGUAAUAUGUUAUUUUUUAAGUCUAUUUUAUAACUUAUAGAGUUUGGGGGUUAUAAAUUUUUAUUAAAAGAUUCCAAAUAAAUUUGUUUUAGAGAAAUAAAAAAAGAUAAAAUUGAAAAAAGGUUUAUAUAUUAUAAGUAAGAAACCUUAGCACAAUAUUGUGAAGUAGCCUGGUGGUAUCCGCGUUGUUGCAAUGCCCAGACAUCCAAUGUUCGAAUUUCAUCGAAGCCAUAAAUUUUUUCUCCGAAACCCGGUUCGUAGACAAAAUCGGCUUGGUUUUCGGUUUAAUCCGGUCGGACCGUUGGUCUGUUGACUAGUCAACGGAUUGAUUGCUUAAACAAUCUAACUCAAAACCAGCCCGGUCCAAUGCUCGGUUCACCGGUCUGACCGGUUCGACCGUCGGGCCAGGUCGGGUUUAAUAACUAUGGGUGGGAUAGUAGAAAUUGUGGGAUUAGUUAUGAAUCAAAAUGGGACAGAAAAUGUUUAGUUGAAAGUUGAGACUGGGAAAUUUAUCAAUUAAGAAGAAGACAUAUGACAAGUUUGGUGACAACUAUGAGAGACUAAAGACCAAAGGGGAGACUAGGGUUUUUUUUCCCUAUUUGAACUUUGAAACACUACUAAUAAUUUAAGCACUCUCUAAAAACUACAUUAAUCAAAUCAAAUAAUAAGGAAACAAGGGAACAAGUAAAUAAUAAGGAAACAAGGUAACAAGUGUUAGUGAGCAAUAUUUUUUGUUUAUCCCUUAUCAUGAACACCGUCGUUAACUAUAGUUUGCUUUUAUCAUUAAAAUAAUUGCUCUUAUAAUUAAACUAACUGACUGUAGUUAGUUUGCUUACAUCAUUGAAUUAACUGAGGUUUGAAAGGUUUAGAAGGAUUAGGAUGAGUUAGGUUAGUAUGAACACUUGUUAGUUUGCAAGAGAAUGAGAUAAAAAUUGAGGCAGAGAAAGAUGGAUGAUCCAUAGCGGGCUAAAUUUAGAGGUACAAAAAGUAGCAAAGAAAUGUUUAUAAAAAUUGAGGCAGAGAAAGAUGGAUGAUCCAUAGCGGGCUAAAUUUAGAGGUACAAAAAGUGGCAAAGAAAUGUUUAUGCCAAAAUUAGGCACAGUGGCUUUAGUAUUGUAGCAACUAGUACUAAAUGCAUAAUAUUUAUGAUGAAUGAAUUUCAUAUAAAGUUUUCAUUGUUAAAGUAGUGUUUGAAACUUAUACUAUACAUAUAAUAUGUUCUUAUCUUAAUUACUAUUUUAGUAAUUAUAACACUUCACAAUAUUUUAUAUAAUAGACACAAGAAAUGGUAUCAUGUUUAUUGCUAGCCAUACACAAUCAGUUAAUGCUUGAAAGUUAUACUUUAUAUAUACUUAUCUAGAAUUAUUAUUUAGUACUUAUAUCACUUUACAAUAUUUUAUACAAUAGACAUACGAAAGCAUAUUGUAGCUUUUAUUGGUUGCCAACUAGUUAGGGUUUAGUUUUAAACAAUUCUUAAAAAUUUGCACACGUACAUUUGUUAGAGCAUUUGCUUUUUAGUAAUUAUCUUAUUUUAGUAACUUCACCACCUAUCAAUCUAUAGUAAAUAUUCCAUUUUAGGAACUUCAGGAACAAUUUUUGGCCGUCAAUAUGGACGCAUGACAUAUAAUUAUGACUAUUAUAAGAGAACUUAUAACCUAAAGAAAAGAAAACUUAUUACUUGAGGAAAAAAACUACUACUUGCAUAGCAAGACUUAUCAUUUACAUUUGGUGGCUUGGUACGCUUUCAAAACAUAUCUAUAUAUUCUUGUAUUGAGAAAACUCAAAAUCCUAAGUACUUUUUGUGCACCAACACUAAAGGAUCUCAAAUUAACAAAAGAACAAACGGGUUAAUAGUUGCCCUAUAAACUUGUUUUCUACUAUUAAUUUUCAGUUAGGUAAUAUGAAUAGAGGGACCGGGGGAGGACUAGUCCUAGUACUUAGGAAACCCAAAUCGAAGAAAAAAGGACUACAGAGUUUCUAAAAUAGCUUGUAUUUGGACUCUCUUCAUUAGUACGAAAAUGACAUGCCUUAUCUUGACGGGUCAGACUCAUUCCACAUGAAGAAUUCACCACAUCCCUAUGCGAUGGACAACCACUUGUAGGAAUAUUGCUGCCCUCUCCAUGUUUAGUCGUCCCAUCCCUAUAGGAGAGGGAGGAACUUGCCAUACAACCACAUGUAGGAAUACUACUAUCCUCUCCAUGUCUACCAGCUCCAAAGGGAGAACCUGUCACAUCCCUAUGGGAAGGGGAGAGACUUGCCAUUCAACUUCUUGUAGGACCUGUAGGAAUAUUGCGGCCCUCUCCAUGUCUAACACCCCAGGUAAAUUACAAAAUGUAAUAAUAAAAAAUUUUUGUAAAAUCCAUGCCAGUUAUUGUCAUUGAAGUAAUAAUCUGUUUUAUGUUUAAAACAAUACUUAUUUGGUGAAUCAUGAAUUUUUGUUGUCCCAGCACCAUGAAAAAGAGGUUCCCUGUAACCAAGAAUAUCCACAAAAUCAAAAACAAUUUACAAUUGAUAGUAGCAAUUGACAAAUGUUGUACGUCUUAGACAAACUACUCAACUGCCAACCUCUUCAUCCAUUAUCAUCAUCAAAGAAAUACCAUAUCAUGCUUGUCAAGUUAAUGGUGGUUUUCACAAGAAAAGUCCAAUAUGUGCAAUUGAUAGUUUAUGUUCCCCUCGUCCCGCCCCAAUAAUGGUAAAACUGAUAGCCUUUGCAUUUAAAUUUGUUGCAGAAAAAAAUAAAUAAAAAGUCCAUAAUAAAAUAUCAAAUGCAUAUUUAGUGUUAGUUCGCUGGUCGUGCUCAAGAUUUUUUUUAAAAUUUUUUUUGACAAACCCAAUAAGCAUGAAAGUAAUCCUUCCAAAAGGUCACUUAUAUAUACAUACAUACAUACAUAUAUAUAUAUAUAACAAGUCAAAUAUUAUGGAGUAGCUGUCCAAAUCCAUAUGGGAUGAACCUGCCGCAUGGCCCGCAUCUGUCUGUUUAUGUGUCUUUCUCCUUCUAUACACUUUCAGAGAGGCAUCACGUUGGGAAGCUCCAUCACCGUAGGUAUAGAGGAACUGUAUGAGAUCAACAAGCAUAUUAAUACUACCAUGUAAGCACUUGUUCGCUUUUCAUAUGUUGAAAUAGCUUUGUUAUUCAAGUUUUAUGAUUAAACAACUAACAGGGAAACUUAAAAUAAUAAUAACAAUAACAGUCUAAUUAAUGUUUUGUAGGCAUGAAAGUUUAGGAAAAAUUGCCACUUUAGUCCUUCAACAAUUUAGCUUAUGCCAAUUUCAUCCCUUGAUGUUAUUUUAGCCUAAUUUAGCCCUUCAACUUAAAUUUCUUGUCCAAUUAGAUCCUUUUACGGCGGCACCACCCAUCAAACUUUAUCCAACACAAAAGACACCACCUAAACAAGGGCAAGAAUGGAAGUACAAGUCAUGUACUACAUUAAAAUAAAGAAAUCUGAAAACCUUUCAUCUAAUGAGGUAAAACAAAAAUUUUACACUAAAUUGGGGAGAAAAAUAAAAUAUCUGUAAAAGAAGAUUCCAAUUUUCAUUUCCAUCUGUCACUAGUCAACCAGUCAGUGGCAACUGUUAAAUCAAUGACGUCUUCUCUGGCAAAUUUCUGAAACAAGGACGUCUUGUCUUUGAACUCUUAAAUCAAUGGUUAUUUUCAACUGGACAAUCAAGACUUCUCUCUCAAUUUGCAAAUAUUUCUAUAGAUGAGGCACUGAAAUUUUUUCAUUUAACUCUCACAUAUUCUCUGCCAGUAUUGAUGCAUUGUUAAUUCCAGAGGAUUCAUUAAUUGGGAAAAAAAACAUGUGUGAUUGUCGUAAAAGUAGCUCAUUUGUGGGAUAUAUUUGCGAGCAGUUUUUUUGCUCAAUAUGUACUCUACAUUGUGUAUAGUUCUUUGCUCAAUAUGUAUUCUAGAUUGCAUUUUGUUGAAGAGGCCUGAAAAGUGUUUGAUGAAAUGCUUAAAAGAAUUAUAGUUUCAUGAACCACCAUGGUUUUCUGGGUAUACAACCCUUAGACUUGCUAUGGAGGCAUUUCAAGUUUUUCAACCUCUAUUUGAUGGAAGGUAGAUAGAGGACUUGAAUGAAUUUCUUAGAGUUUUUAUGAUGAUAUUGGUGAUGGUCCUGGAGAGAAGAGGGAAAAGCCUUAGCUCCUCUCUAUUUGAGACUUGGUGGGUUUGGAAAGCAUUGACAAUUUAAUUCUACAAGUUCUAUACCUAGAAACUUCAUCAAUUUUCUGAUUUUUUGCCAUCUGUGUGGGAAAAAAGAACAAAAAAAAAAAUGAGAAGGCGAUGGAAUCCAAAAAAUGAAAUAUAGAAUGAGAGAAGAUGGCGAUGCUUAAAGAAAGGUUGUGGUUGAUAGUUAUUAGUAGAUGGUAGUAAUAGUGAAAAUUUUUUGUUAAGAGACUAGGUAUGAUUUGGGUUGGGCAAAAUGCUUUGAUGUAGAAGGACUAAUUCAGAUUCUUUUUUGACAACCUCUAUUUUCUUUCCCAAUUUGGUGGAAAAUUUAUUUUUCUCCCCUUUUUAAUGGAAAAUUUUUUCUUUUGGGUUCUAACUUUGGCCCAAACCUUGUAAUUCCUGGAUUGCCUUUAAUUGGGUGGUCAUUUAAUGCUGGAAAGAUUUUAAUUGGUGGUCUGUCCGUGAAAGGAUUUAAUUGGACAAGGAAUUUAAGUUGAAGGACUAAAUUAGGCUAAAAAGACAUUGAGGGAUGAAAUUGACAUAAGUGCAACAGUUCAAGGACUAAAAUGGUGAUUUUCCCAAAAGUUUAAUUUAAAAGUAACAUGUUUGAAAUCUUUCUAGAUUUCUAUAGGGAGAAAACAUAAAUUCCUAAGGCCUUAGGGUGAUCCUUGUGUCCAAAUCAUCAGGAUGAACUUAUUACAUCCUCAGGUUGUUUUUCCCACCUAUGAAGAGUAAACUGUUGGAGAUCAACAAGGAUAUUAGCUCUAUAUGAGUAAUUGUGCACAUUUUAAUAAAUUGAACUGGCUAUUGCGGAACUAUUAUACAUGGCAGAAAAAUAAAACUCAGCUAAUUUUUCAUUUUCCCUAUAUAUAGCUUAUCUAUCUUAACAAAACAAUAGCGAUUUAUACAAUGUAAGAGGUUUUCAUGAUUGCACAACUAAUAUAGAACAUAGCAUUCCUUCAAAUGCAAGGUAACCACCAAGUGGGAGCUUUCUGUCCAACAUAAUGUCAAGACUAUUAGACUAUGCCAAUCACAUGAAUUUGAAAAUUGAAUCAGGUUGAGACACAUAAAAUAACUAUUGUAUGAUGUUUCUAUUUCUUCUUUAGGGUCAUUUCUAAUGAAGACCAACCACAAGCCUGAGUAAUAAUUGUUGAAAAAAAAAACUUCCUAAGAUACAAUACAUUCUUUCAUGUUGUUCCAUGUGUCCAUGAUCAAAAGUAUCAUCGCCUUGUCACGUCCCAUCUGCUGUUUUCCUAUCUUCGUUGCCACAUGUUUCACUUGUCUCAGUGUCAUAACCGAGUUCAGUGUCGUCUUCAUGUUCAGAGCCUCCUCUUGUUCUACUAACCCUACCCCUUUCCCUUUCCCUUCCCUUUCUUCUCCCACUCCUCAAAGUACCUAUUGCUUCACGGGGAAUGCAUAAUCUAUUGCAAAAAUGUGAAUAAAUUUAUGUUCACAAUCAAAACCAUCUGUACAGAAGCUACUAUGAAAUAACUCACCAUCGGUUGGGACGGGGGUGGGAUUCGACUUCAUAUGCUUCUAGAACACCAUUGUCUAUCCCUAAAAAGGUAGAGAAAAGAAAACACAUAGACAAAACAUAAACCACAAAAUUCGACAACAACAAGUUGUUAGUUUCUAUUACUAACUUAGUCUGAGAACGACAUUGGUGAAAAACAAACAUGGCUCUCUCAUAUGAUCUUCAUAGUCAUCAGAAAAAGGCAAGUUUUUUAUUGGCUCUAACUUGGUGUAGUAAGAAUCCACAAUUCCAUGGGGCAUAUACACCUCGAGCUCAUAUAGUUGUUCAUUUUCCUACGGUCUAGCCAAUUCUGCACAAGACAAUACCAAUUAAGAAAUGAAAUCAAUUAAGCCUUUUCAUUUCAAUUAUAGAUAAACAAAGAGAAAUGAGGCGUACAAUAUACCAUCUACAAGAUAAAAUAGAGAAAAAUUCCAAAGAAAAAUUUAUCAAAUGAAUAACGAAAGUAGGAAGAGCAAAAGCUUUUGGAAUUCACCAACUGCCACAGCUAAAUGCUGAAUCAAUCAAAUCUUACUGUUCAAAGCAUUAUUGUGUCAUUCUGUUGUAUAGGGUAGUAAAGGUAUAGCAGAAAAUCAACUCAAUCAGGAGCUGCUAGACUUGAGAAAGCAACUCGAGAAAGAGAGGCAAUAUUAUUGAAGAUUCAAGAGAAUGAAUAAGAACAAUACUACUUUCUAGAUUGUUGUACCCCCUUGUUGCCCAUCCCUUUUAUAAAAGAAUUACAAGAAUUCCUACCACUGCCAUUCUACUGCUGCAAUUCAGCUGUAACAGCUGUUUGCCAAUAGGUGUGUUAGUUAUAUCUUUGUGCCCGAUCAUCUCCAAACCAAGUUUGAUAAGAAGGCCAUUCGUUGUAUAUUCAUGGGUUGUGAUAAUCAAUGAAAAGGUUGGAAAUGUUGUGACCCUAAAAUUGGAAAAUGUUAUGUCUCAUGAAAUGUGGCGUUUGAUGAGGCAUCGUCAUGGUAUUCACCCCAAACAAUGUUGCUGCCAAACUCGCAAGAUUUGGAAGAACAAUUGCAAGAGAGAUCUGAUGAUCAACUUGAAACCAAUAGCAAACCAAGAGGGAGCAAAAAACAUAACAAAUGAUUGUUCACCUAAGAAGAUCAAAAGUUCUUAGCAAACAGGAGUGCAUGCUCCAACCCCAGAAGAUGAAAGGCCAAGUCAUUACGAGGAGAUUGAAUAUGAUGAUAAUUCUCUUAUACAACUACGAAAAUCAACCAGACAAAUAUGAUGAUAAUUCUCCAAAUCCUAGGUAUGCAAUGCAACUUUGAUAGAAGAUGAUGGAGUAAUUGAACCAUCUACUUACCAGGAGGUAGCUCAAAACUCCAAGUGGAAGAAAAUCAUGGAGGAAGAGAUUCAAGUGCUCAGACAAAAUGAGGCUUGAAAUCUUGUUCCAAAACCAAGAGUGGUCAAACGUAUCUCUUGCAAAUGGGUCUAUAAGAUUAAGACUCGUCCAAAUGGCUCAGUUGAGAAGUACAAGGCACGCCUCAUUGCUCAUGGAUUAUCUCAGAAGUAUGGGUUAGAUUAUGAUGAAAUGUUUAGCCUAGCCCAGUGGCAAAGUUGACUACAGUUAGAAUUCUAUCUACACUUGUAGCCAGCAAAUUAUGGAAGUGUUGGCAGAUGGAUGUCAAAGAUACUUUCCUUCAUGUAGAACUAGAUCAAGAGAUCUAUAUGGAUCAACCACAGGGGUUUGAAGACAUGGUCUGACCAAGUUACAUAUACAAAUUGAAGAGGGAUUUAUAUAGAUUAAAAUAAGCACCAAGAGUAUAGUAUGGCAAGAUAGUUGAGUUCUUGGUUCAAAGUGGAUAUUCUAUAACACCUGCAAAUUCUGGUUUUAUUUGUGCAAGCUAGCAGUGGAAGGUUAGCUAUCAUCCUUGUGUAUGUUGAUGAUUUAAUCAUUACAGAUGAUGAUGAUGAAGAAAUUCAAUGAACUAAAGAAAACUUGUCGUACGCUUCCAAAUGAAAGAACUCGGGGAGCUAAAGCAUUUUCUUAAUCUUGAAGUUGAUAGAGCCAAUGAAGGUUUACUAUUAUGCAAGAAGAAGUAUUCCAAAGAUUUGUUGGAAAAAUUUGGGAUAUUGUAUAAGCCAAUCGCAAUUCCAAUAGAGGUCAAUGCCAGAUAUUGAUCUACUAAAGGUAAAAACAUCGAUGAUGCAACGAUGUACAUACAGUUGGUAGAUAGUUUAAUCUAUAUCACUUUGACUAGACCUGACAUAUCAUAUGCAAUUGGAGUUGUGAAUAGAUUCAUGUAAAAUCCAAAGAAAAAACAUUCGGAAGUUGUGCAUUGAAUUUUGAGAUACACCAAAGGGUCCAUUGACUAUAGUCUAUUGUACAAGAAAGAAGAAACUUGCAAAGUGACUGAAUAUUGUGAUGCAGACUAUGCUGGUGAUCAUGACACAAGGAGAGCAACCACACGUAGGGAUGGACAAAAAUACCCGUUACCCGAGAGCCUGCCACAUCCGAUUCGAUCCGAUCUGAAAAUUAGGAUACCCGAUCUAAAUUAUUUGAUCGGAUCAAAAAGAGGAUUGGGUACCAGUUUAGAUGCAGGGUGGGUUAGGGUCACAUAAUUAAAAACUUGUGGGUACCCGACCUACCCCGCAUAUAUAUUUUUUAUUUUUUAUUUUUAUACAUAUGCUAUAAAAUAACAUUUUUAAAGCUAAAUAAGCAAUUUUAUUGAACAAAUUGUAUUACAAAUAUGGGAUAUACAAGAUUCAUUUGUAAAGCUCAUGAUCUUAUAUUUUUUAGAAAAGAGUUUAAUUAAUGUGAAAUAUAUAAUUAACAAAAGGUGCUAAUUAUUUCAAAUUUUUAUUAAUUUUGAAUUCUUUUAAUUUUUUUUUUGUAUUCUAUUCAUAUGUUUGUUUUUUGGUGUGAGACUUUUUUUUGAGAAAAAAUCUUUAUUAAAUCUUAUAUGAAUAUGUAAAAUACAAAAUAAAAUUAGUAUAAAUCAAAUUUUUUAAAAAAUUAAAUGAUAAACAGGGCAGCAUGGGUACCCAUUGACCCGACCCUAUUAUUGGGUACCCGCCAAUAUGUGGGGGAUCAAAAAAUGGCUGACCUACGAGGUGCCAGUCGGAUCAGCUAAAUGGUGCAUGAGGUGGGUAUUCGACCCGUGCCCACCUGUAACCACAAGUUUUAUGUUCAACUUUGGAUCAACUGCAAUUUCUUGGUGUAUUAAGUGACAACUGACAGUGUCAUUAUUCAGUACAGAAGUAGAAUACAGAGCAACAACUUUAGUAGCACAGGAAAGUACAUAGUUAGUGCAACUUAUGAAGGAUUUAUACCAACCAAUUGAUUACCCGAUUCAGUUAUACAAUGACAACCAGUAAGCGAUUUGUAUGGCUGAAAUCCAGUAUUUUAUGCGAGAACAAAACAUGUUGAAGUUCAUUAUCACUUUGUUCGAGAGAAAGUGUUGCAAGGAGAAGUUGACUUGAAAUAUGUCAAUACAGAUGACUAAGUUGUUGAUAUAUUCAUGAAGAGUUUGAGUCCUUUCAAAUUUGUGAAGUUUAGAGAUGUUCAGAAUAACUAAGAGAGAAGUCAGUGUUGAGGGGGAGUGUUAAAGUUACAACACUACUUCCUCUUAUAUGACGAUUUACCACGAAUUGUGAAUUAUUGAGUUCACUAUAACAUUUGCAAAUAGUGAAGUAGUUAGGCUAUAUUGUUUGACUAAAAAUUUGGAGGGUUUGUCCUAAGUGUUGAUUACGCAUACUAGAAACUUGUGAAAUGCAGAGUCCAUCUUUGUAGCUGAACGUGGGAAAUGCAUGCUCCAACUAGAUUUGGUCAUGUACUUCACAAGAUUUUUUGGCAGUUGGAUAUUAAAUAUGAAGUGGAAAAUUGCAGCUACUUGUCAGAUGUUCACUGGUUUAAAUAGAGAGCUCAUUUGCCAUUCUUGGCAUCUCAUUCUCGAACGAAAAUAAGAAGAGCUCAAUUAGAGUUGAAGCUCUUAGAAUGCUCUAGUAUUUAGAGUGCAGUUUAAUGACUUUUUGAGCAAAUAUCUUAAAAGUGAGACUCUAAUAAAAUUAGAACAAAUAUUCUCAAGAGUAAGACUCAAUUUAGUAGUAUCUAGUGCAAGUUUAUUUUGUGAAUGUUAAUAUUGUAUACACUUUGAGUAUAAUAAAAUAGUUCAUUUGUCCCCUUUUAUUUGUGGAUUUAAUCCGUUAAUUUGUUAUUAAAACCCACCACAAUCCAACAUCUAUGGGCUGCUAGGAAGAAGAGGUGAAGGUGCGGAAGGAAAAGUUACCCUUUUGCAGACUUGCAGUUUCAUUAUCCUUUCUCAAAUUUGACUUGUGGAGUUUUGGAUGUCAGACUACAUUAAGUUGUGGUCGAUUUUGUAUUUUAACUUUAUGCUCGUAAUAACCAAGGCAUAAAAGCUUGCAUUUUAACUUCUUUGUAUCCUUAGAUAGGAAUAGUUAGAUCAAAUUUAUAAAUUAUUCUUCUUUUCUCUACGAAAAUCCAAUCUCUUUCUCUAUUUAACCUUAGUUAGUACUUCUAAUAAUAAUGUGUUUGAGAAUAGAUUUUCUGCAAAUUAAAGGUUGUGGGAGAACAAACACAAGUCCUUUUAGGUAUGAGAGACAUAGUUUAUUUAUGUGAAGACCUUCAAAUAUAUGAUAAACUUUUUAUGCAUGGUCGGUGUAUACACUAAUCGGUCUAGAUACGUGCAAAAUCUGCACAAUUUAUUGUUUAAUCAGAAUUUAGAAUGAGGUGAUAUUCAUCAAAAUCCUCUAGUGUGUAUACUAUCAAUUUAUAUCAUAUUAAUCCUUAAAUAUGUAUAUAUUGAUGGUAUACACAGGUUUACCCUUGCUUUAACUCUUUCUCCUACUGUUUUCUUUUUUUUUAUCUUGUAAAGCUCUGAUUCAAUUUUCUUAUUAGUUUAACCCUUUAUUACCAACAAGAACCCUUUCUAUCAGCUAACUGCAUGUUGGCUUCAUCCUUAAUUUCUUUUAACCUUUUUACUUAUAAAAUAAUGCUUUCAUCUUUGCUGAAAGUUCCAAACACGAUCAAUUAGUAUGAGGUCAAUUUGGCAUGCCAUUCUAUGACUGUAUAAUUGACCAAUAACUAUUUCGAGUACAAUGCUAAUAGGUUUUACUUUCCUUACUUUUCCUAUUUUGACAAUGAUUUGAAAUUGGUAUUGGUAUUAAAAUGAAAAACCUGAAAGUUUUACGUAACACACAAGAAUUAUGCUGGCAUAAUAUCUUAAAUACCAAUAAAUAAGGCAUCUGUUGUUGGAUUCUUAAUCCAACAUUGGACUUAUAUGUGAAUAAUUAUGUGUUGCAGACUGUCAAAUAAGGUUAAAUCCAAUUAAAAUGAUCAAAUAUAAUUUGGAUUUUAAUGUAUUUAACAGGAUGGAAGCCUAAUAUGUAGAAAUUUAAGGGUAAUUUCUAUUUCUAUGAUGGGUUGAAAUAGGAAUCCAAAAGAUAACAGGAAUGUUAUCUGUAAACAGGGUUAUAGUCCUCAGAUCACAAGAUUCUUAUUGUUGUAUUUUCUAGUACCACAAAACAUCUCUUUCCUGAUAUCCUAUCAUCAAGAAAGAUACCAGAGAGAAAUUAAAGGCAUCUCUCAAGGGAUUAGCGAAUACGUAUUGACCUAGAAAAGCUACCCCAAAAAUCUGAGCAUUCAAAUACCAGUUUGUUAAUAUGAAUCCAGGUAUACUUCCACAAUUUUGCUGUUAAUUUAUUUCUUAAUAAUCGCCAUAAAGAUUUUGGAUUUAAUAGGUGAUAGUUUUUACCAAAGGUUAAUACAAACAAAUACUAACAUCUGUUGCUCAAGUUCUUGGUCUUUUUUACUGCUUGGGCAAAAAGAGGUGCAAAAUUAUGAGCAUUGUUAAUGGGCAUAAUAUGUUUUAAGAUCUACUUGUCUGGAUCACCAUACGGUUGGUGGGAAGAAAAAGUUGAAUGUAAGCGGGAGGAGCAAUUAUUCAUCUACAAUUUCAUGAUCCUAUUGCAUAGAUAGAGGCUAUAGUCAUGAUUUGUGAAUGUUGUGUUUUAGAUCUAAUUGACUCCUGGGAUUUUGGGUGUCAGUGUGUAAACAUUGCAAAGCCUAACAAUCUGUAUAAACAAAUUGAGUACUGUAGUUUUGGAUGCUUUCAAGUUUUGACCUAAUUUGGUCGAGAGAAUAAUUCAUUUGCAAAUUUCUUUGAGUACUAUACAUACAAAGCUAACAAUUGCUGCCUGCUCCCUCCUCUACUUCAGCUUCGGCUCUUGCUUCAUUGCUAGGUUCCACUACCUAAAGCUUCACCUUCAUUGUGUCCCCUGAGAAGUGGAAAAAUUCACUUAAGCAUUAAGAAAGACAUUUAGUUGAGCAAAAAAGCGUGCACCAAAAAUAGAUAUUAAUGGCAUGUUUUUUGCAAAAGGUAGAGGAUUCUAUUACGACACAGCAUCUCUAUGAAGGUCACCAUAUAUAGAGUUAUCAUGAAAUGAGAAGAGAAUUCAUUAAUUGAAGAAUGAAUGGCCGAACAACUUUUCUCAUGGACUCGGUGAUAUCAUGCUGUAUUCUUAUAUACUCUUGCCAUUCUUUUGGCUAGAUAUUUAUGUGUAUAGGAUACUAAUCUGCAGUGCUUUUGAUUUAUAGCUAGACAAAGUGUGAGACAUCAAAAGGAAAGCUUUAGUCCUUUAAUACAAAAAGGAGGCAGCCUGGAAAGUACAAUGUUCUUGAUAUAUACUUUGACUGCAUGUUCUUUAUUGUAAUGGAAUUACACAUCUGAGUACAAUUUCACUAAUAUAUAGCAACCUAUUUAGAUUAUACCUUAUUCUCAUCUUUCAAUAAAAAGUAUAAGCAUUGAAAAUGAAGAAGAUAUGGAAUCUACUUCCUGGAUAUCAAACCCCCUCCUCAUACUUUAUAUAUAUGCAUGCAAAAUUUGAAUUUCAAAUUCGAAUUCGAAUUAUGUGUCAUGCAUCCAAUGGUAAAAGUGUAUACACUGCCAGUUUAUUGAUGAUUCAUUCAUAUAUAUAAGUCACUUGUAUUUAUAUUCAUAGUAUACGUCCAUUACUAAUAAGGGGGUAACUUUGAUAUGGCAAAUCAUAGUAAUGUGUGUUGUAUCUUGUUUAAAUCUCUAACGAAAACAAACAUGUUUAACCUGAAUGGCAUGCAUUUCUUACCCGAAUCCAAUUUUGAUUGGCAGGCAACCCAAAAUUCAACUUUCAUAUUAGGGAUAGCAAUUGGGAUGAGUACCUGCGGGGGCUAUUGGGGCAGGGCAGGGGGAAUUAUAUGUAUAUAUUAAUAUAUCAUAUUUAAUUUAAUUAGUUACAAAUUUAUAAUAAUGAUAUUAUUAGUUAUAUGUAUUAUAUAUUGUAUAUUAGUAUCUAUAAUAUAAUUGAUAUCAAUUAUAUUAAUAACUAUACAUGUCUAUUAAUAGAAAUUAUUAAUUAGUUAUAAUGAAUUUGCUAAUACAUUUAUACUAAAUUUCUAAUUACACUUGACACAAUAACAUUUUUUUCUCAGAAAAAACAAUAAUAAUUUAAUGAUUGUAUUUGUAUCAAAAGUGAAAACUUGAUUGCUUUAGUUAUAUUUGUUUCGUUAUAUUGGAUUGUAUUCAAAUAGCUUUUGUCUAAUUGUUUUUAUGAAUUUCAAUUGUGAAAUUACAAUGGAUAAUAAUUUUGUGAUGUAUUGAUAUUUUAAUACAUGAUUAUUUGUUAAAAUUUGAUUGUAAUAAAAUUAUGUAAUAAAUUUUUAUUAGCACCUACGGGGAAGCGGGGUGGGGAACCCGCCUAGUUGCUAUCCCUAUUUCAUACCUCCAGAGAUUCGACCUGCCUAAACCGAAGUUCUAAUUUCGGGUGGGUUGAAGGUUACAUUUAGGGGUGGCAAUUUCCGACAUCACUUGAAAAUACGACACGAAUCUAACACAAAAUUAAUGGAUUUGAAUUGAAGUUUCGCGGGUUCGGGUUGAAACCGAUAAACUCAAAAAGAAAACGAGUCGAAUUCGAGUCAACUCGUGGGUGACUUGAUAACCCGUUUACGAAUUAAAAAUAAUUUAAUAAAAAUAAAAAUUAUUUUAUCUAACUAAACUAAGUUAUUCUUUUUUUUCAAAGGCAUUAAUCAUUUAAUCCUAAAUGAAUUUAUUUAACUUGUGUGAAGUUGAAAUUAUUAUAUAUUUGGACUAAUAAUGUAUUAAAUUAUUUUACUUUUAUAUUGUUUUAAUUUAUUUUAUAUUUGAUUUGGGAUAAAACACUUUUACAAUGUUUUAAUUUAUUUUAGAUUUAGUUUGGAAUUAUUUAUUUAAAAUUUUAUUACUUGAUUAUGUAAUUUGUCUUGUGCGAAGUUGAUUUUAUUAGAAAUUACAGUGGUAAAUUAAUAAAUUAAAAUUAAGUAUCAGGUCAUUUUGAAUCGAUCCACCAAUCCAAAAUUUUUGGGUUUGGGUUAGGUAUCCUGACCCGUUUCAGGUUGAAGGGUCAAGUUCGAAUCAACGGAUUUUCUGUUAUACCAUACCUGAUCCGUUUCGGGUUGACGGGUCAGAUUCGGGUCAACGGAUUUUUUGUUAUACCCGAAUCUCAACCUGACCCGCCAACCCGAUUUGGGUCCGAUUGCUACCCCCAGCUACAUUAGCAUUCAACAGGAAACAUUUCUCAAAAUAUUCUCCCCCUUUUGCUCUCACAAGUCAGGUCGGGUUUCUUGUCCGUUAAACACAACUGAAGAAUCUAUAGAUCUUAGGCAGCGAGGGAGUGCGCCAAAGGUAAGAAUCGCAUAUGACUUCUUCCCUCAUCUCAUUCGUUUUUUUUGAUAAUUUGUUUUUCCUUUUUUUUUUGGGUGAUUUGGUUUUGGAAUAUCUAGCUGUAAGUUUCUGCGAUCCACAAGCCUGCUGGGUACUCUUAAUACACACACACAUAUAUAGAUACAAACACACAUAUACACAUAUGUAUGUAUGUAUGUAUGUAUGUAUGUAUGUAUGUAUGUAUACAUACAUACACACAUAUAUACACACAUAUAUAUGCAUACGUAUAUACGUACAUAGAUAUGUGUAAACUUUUCAAAAAAGUAGAAAAAGUGAAAGCAAAUAGAUAAAAGAUUGGAUGUGAAUACAGUUGAAACUUUGAAAAUAAAUAAAACUAGUCAGCAAUAUUUCUUUUUUUGAGUGCAUAAUAUUGCAUUCAACUUCUUGGGUAUUAAUUUUAUUAUUUUGAAAAUAAAAAUUGGAUGACAUUUGUAUUAUUUUUGAACUGUAUAUAUUUUAAACAUAUUUUUUAGUUUAGUAUAUUCAGAAAAGUAUAAUGAAAACACAUUGGAUACCCAAAUCCAUAAGACUUUGGGUCUGAACUUAUUUUUUUAGACUCAUAAGGGUUUGAGUCUGGAUUUGGAUCUAAUGAAAUUUAAUGGAUUUAAAUGUGGAUCAAAGGAAUUCAAUCCAAACCCUAUCUAUUGACAUGUCUAUCUAUUAGUGGAUAACUAAAUUAGAUUAAUUAUUCUUUCCAAUAUUUAUGAGUAUCUGAUUUUACCUUACCUGUUCUAAGCCUCCUACUAAUUGUUGGUGCUUCAGGAAAUUCUAUCAAAUUUUACCUUACCUGUUCUUAGUAGGGGUGGCAAUCAGGUCAGCUCACGAGUUAGCGGGUCGGGUUGAGACAUAGGUAUUCCAGACAACUCACCAACCCGAAUACGACUAGUUUAUUUUAUUGGGUCAGGUUUCUUGACCUGAACACGAAUCGCAAUGUUCGCGGGUCACCCGAACCUGACCUGUUUCAACUUGCCAAUUUAAUGAUAAGUUGAUCACUUAAAACAGAAGCACAUAACUACUACUUAUCAGACUAAUAACCUCUAAUAAUCAGCAAUGUAAAUUACCCAUCGAAAUUCAGAAAUCCAUUCAUUCAAAUGAGAAUCAUAUGCAAAAGGCAUUCACCAAACAUAAUACAAAUCCAAAUGACUAAGGCAUAAAAUGACAUAACAUAAGUUGAGAAGCAGUAAUCACAAGUCCAAACUCCCAAUAUCAUCAUCAAAUUCAAAUGGCUACAAGCAAUGAAAACUAAAAAGACAUAAGAUAAUAACAAGUCCCAUAUCAUCAAUUCAUCAUCAAAUCCCAAUGGCUGCAAACCAUAAACACUAAAUAGCAAUAAAAUAGACAUAAAACUGAAACAUAAUCAUUGGUCCAGGUUCCAAGCUCAAAUAGUGAAUUCAUACUUCUCUUCCAACUCCCAAACUUCACUAAAUCAAGGGAUGCAAGUACUUUUUAAGUACCCUGCAAUGUAGGCAUCAAAGUAUUAAUGCCUAAUGGUGAUACAUAUAAGUACAAUAAAAUAUAUUAUGCUAUAACAUUUAGCUCACCAAAGUCAAUGACUUAGAGGUUGACCACAUUAGAGUUUGAAUCUUCAACAAAUUGGACAUUAUCUUUUGAUAUGUUCAAAGACAUGAUGUCUUAAGUUAUAUCCUCUAGCCUCAAAUCUGUCAUCUCUGCAUUAACAAGAUAAGAAAAAUAAAAUGAGUAUAACAUACUAAAGAAACAAAGUAGAUAUUAGAAGAUCUCAAUUUACUAAUUUUACCUUUCUCCCCAAACAACCGAUCUUUAGUACAUACUAAAGCUUCAACUAUUAGUGGUGACAAAAUGAACUAUGGAAUUGGUCUAGAAUCCUAUCGUCAAGGCUAAAAGCAGAUUCUGAUGCAAACAGUUUAUACAGGAACACAUAAGAUAUUUCUAGCUAAUUUUUCUAGAUCUAAACAUCGAUAUCGUUGAGCCUUCCAAUAGUCAAGAACAUGAAUCUCAGAUUUUCUUUUACUUCUUGGCUCAUCUAAAUACAUUUCCAAUUGAGUUUUUUGUGCACCACAUAUAAAUUCAAAACUAUCAAAUUCCUAUUGAACAUGACAUUGAAAGAGAGAUAUAUUAGACAUGAAAAUGAGAAUAGAACAUUUUUAAAAUCACAUGGAAGUAUAUAAAUUAAUAAGUCAAUACUACUAAAAAAUAUUAUCAUCACACCUUGAAAACAUGUGCUGAUUGUUUUCCUUGUACUUCUGCUGCAUCAAAAGAGGUCUCAUUCAUCUCAUUUCUACCUUGAGAACAAGAGAUAAUGGCUGAGACGUCUUACUAACUCUAACAUAUUCAUUGAAGAGAUUAAAAAGUGUAUCCCCGACCUUUGUUAGUUCUGCAGACCCUGAACCAUAUAAUUUUUGAUAACUAAACUCAAGAAACUGAUAUUUGUAUCUAGGAUCAAAUAUCACAGCAAUGGCUAACAAAAUAUUGAACUCAGACCAAUAUUUGCUGAAAUUCACAAACAUCUGUUCAGCAAGUUUCUUCAUAAAGCCAUCAGAACUGUGACACUCCUCAAACAACUUUAAUUGAAUCAGAAAAACUUGAGGAAAAUACAAGUUAGUAGUUAGUUACUUAGAUCUCGAGAAGGCCAUGGUUGCAUCAUAAAAAAAAUUUUAAAAACUACAAAAAUUUUCAACUCUUUCCCACUCUUCUGAAGAUGGACAGCAUUGAAAAUUGGAAUCACUCAAUUGUAAGUGACAAAAGGCAAGACAGUAAUAAAGAGCACUUGAAAGCAUCUUAUAAGUGGAAUUCCAUCUAGUUGGGACAUUCUGAACUAAGGCCUUUUUAGAAUCACGGGAUGUUUGUGCUAUGCAUUGAGUAAACUUUACUUUUUUCACUUGAGAGCCCUUCACAUAUUUCACACAUUCCCUUAUUCUAUCCAUUGAGACAUCAAUUUCUUUCAAACCAUCUUGCACAAUCAGAUUUAGAAUGCGCACAACACCUCACAUGAAAUAAAAUACCAUCAUGCACCAAAGCACCUUUCAACUUAAGCUGAUUCUUAAGUAUGUGAACACAAGAAUCAUUUGUAGAAGCAUUAUCCAAAGUGAUGGUGAAUAAUUUCUUUUCAAUGCCCCAAUUACUAGCCAAACUAUAAAUUUUUUUUGCUAGAGCAAUUCCACUAUGAGGAGGAGGCAUAUAAGAAAAAUUCAGAAAUUUGUUUUACAGCACCCAAUUAUUAUCAAUGAAGUGUGUGGUCAAGCUCAAGUACCCAGCAGUAACUACGGAGCUCUAUGCAUCAGAAGUCAAAGCAAUUCGACUAGGACAUAAUUGUAGUUCAGCCUAAAGUCCAUCAACUUCUUUAGCAUGCAAUUUUUUUAUAUCUACCUUAGCGGAGUUUCUAGUAAUAUGUUUAACUUGUGGUUCCAAAUAUGAACAUACAUUUCUAAUUCCCUCAUGUUCGACAAAUGAAAAUGGCAAUUCAUGUUUGAUGAUUGCAUGCAUCAUUAAAUCUCUAGAUUUCUCUUGACUAAACUGAGAAUUUCUUGUGGACAAAGCUCCUCAAUCAGCAGUAAGAAGAUAUUGACCAAUGUUUUUAGUUGUCAUUUUUUGACAUUUUUUUAUAUGUCGAAGGAGAUUACCUGUCCCCUUUUUACUCUCUGCAGAGUAGAUACGCUUACAUUUUUUGCAUUUGCAUUUCAAUUCCUCAUUUGGUUUUGGAGUUAGGACGGUAAAGUAACCCCAAACUUCAGAAGUUAUCUUCCUCUUUUUCUUCCCUUCAAGAGCAGGGUUAGGACAUUGAGACUGGCUCAUUUCCAUUGUUUCUUCAAUGCUGUUGUCACUACCACUAUCAUCAUCCACCUCAACUGGAUUUGGAUUUGUAUCACUUUCAUCCAUCUGUUAACCAACAAAUAGAUAUACAUAUCAUUGCCAAUUCAAGUUAAAAUUUCUCUUGUUAUAGUAGCAAAUCGGAAUCCAUCUUUACAAAUCUUAAUCACACAAGGCUGUGUACAGCCCAACAAAUUAAGAAGGCAAAUAUUGAAUCAUAGUUUGGAAAGUCAUUUUCCAUCAAAAAAUUCCUAUAUACAGUUUUAUUUGGCUAUCGAGGGCACGUGCAUGCCCAUUGGUUAGAUGCACAACUGCCGGUGCCCACUGCCGAUGUGAUAACUAUAAUACCGUUUGGAUUAGUUGUUUCUGGGAUUGUUUUUAAAAAAUUUUAUUGUAACAAAAUUUUUAUAGUAUAUUUUAGAAAAUAUUUUGAAAUAUUUAAGAGUAGAAGAGUUUUUAGAAGAUAUUUUGAGAUAUGUUUUAAAUAUUAAAAAAAAAGUAGACUGCUUUUUAGAGUAUUUUUUAAAAUUUUUAAUAGUAUUUAAAAAACUAAUUUUUGAAAAACUCUUGAAUCCAAAUAGGGCUAAUAGGUGGUUUGUGAAUACCCAUAUGAUCAAUUUAUGUUUUGGGAGACAAUAUUCUGAUCGUGUCCAGAGUUGAAUCUGUUCAAACUCUUUAUCUACCAAAUCUAUUGCAGCAGAAGUUGAGUAGGUAAAAAUCAAUAUUUCAUCGAUGUUUUGAGUAACUUACUUUCCAAUAUUAAAUAAAAGUCGCACGGAUCUAAAACAAAUUCAUGUUUAAGUUGUAUACGACGUAUGUAAUUUCUUUUUUUUUUCCUGGCAUAAAUUUCUUGGUCUUUGGUGACUGCAUUGAGCUCCUAACUAAUCUAAAAUCAAGCCUUGUUGGACCAUUUUUGAGAUCACUCUCCAAACAUAAUUUUCUCUAUCGUUAGUAUGCAAUUUCUAUAUUACUCCAGCUUACUUAAUUCUAUAUUGUCAUGUGUUGAGACGAGUUAGCGUCCUAAAGUCAAAAACAUUGAACGAAAUAUAUAGAAAGCUUCCAUAAGGUUGUACAUGCACGAAAUUUUGUCCAACUUCCAAAAGCAGAAACUGGAAGCUCUGGAAACCCAUUUUCAGUCAAAGGUCAGUAUAAAUAGAACGCCAUGUUUUGUUCACCCUAGAAAUUCUAAAUAUCGAACGAGUUGCAGUUGCUUCACAAUCCUUUUAAAGACGAUCAUUCUCUUACUCCUUUUCUCCUAAUGAAUCAGAAUGCUCCCGAUUUGUAACUUACAAGAUCAGUCAAUUUGUGUGAUAGAUCUAGUUAAUGCGUCCAGGGAUUAUGGAUCCAAGUUUUAUUAAGGGCUUGUUCAAUUUCUUUUAUUUUUAUCUACUUGCCCAUGCAUGCAUGCAUAGUUGCGUAUGAUUACGUUCGGGAUGCUAAAACCGUGUAGACAUACACUUAUAACGUAAUUUUCUUAUGAAACUAACGCAUGCUUGCCAUGAAAGUAGCAAUGUAGUUAUAGUAUAUUGCGGGGAUUCUAAGGUUUCUAAAGAUUUCUUUUUUUGGGGUAACAUGAGGAAUGCUUGCUUGCUCGUUGCAUCUCUGGACUUCUUUAACCUUUCAAAUCAAUAACAAUGGACCUUGCAGUGAUUCUGAAAUAUUACAGGCAAGGGUCAUAUGGAUCGAUCAGAAAAUAUCCACAACUUACGAUAACUUGUUGCAAAUUAAUAUUGGCUCAUCAUACAAGUAAGAACGACACAAAAUUGCUUUAAGCAAUAAGAAUUGAUUUGAUUUAGCCGUGGUGGAUGGUGGAUUCCUAAAACAUUUCCUCUCCUACUUUCCUUAUUUGUUAAUGAAUUUUCUUAGCAUCUUUUUCUCUAUUAUAUCUUGUGAGUGGUGUCUUGUAUGUCUUAUUUCUCCUUGUUUCUCUAGAAAAAUUCCAUCUCUGUUACAAAUCUUUAGAAAGGCAGCACCCUCCUCCUCGGCCCCUAACUCAAGGAAAAACAAAAGAAAUUUGUCUAACAAUGAUUCAGUAUCAAAAAUGUCUCCUCAUGUAAGUAUUAAUUCCUCAUCAUGAACUUCUGUCAAAAACUAAUAAUUCCUUAAGGUUCUGAAAGGCAAGUAGUGACAGAAUUCGAGAAUCCCUUUAAAACAAAAAAGAGUAAACAAGUAAAUGUAAUACUUUCACAAGUAGACAAAUCUCGAUCUUCACAGGAAAUAUACUAAAACUAGUUUCUAGCUCAACCCUCUCCUGAUUGUCUUCUAAUUAAAUGCAUUUCAAUUAAAAUUAGUAAGCAGAGUUUUCAAAAAACUAAUUAUCCAUUCCACAGGUUCAUAAACUGGAGGCAUAAACAAAAUACUAGCACAUUUCAAUACAAUGAAAUUGUUGGAUGUCCCAAAAUCGAUUAAACAAAGAAAAAAAAAUUCAGAACGUGUCGUCAUUCAAAUUGUUGGAAAGGGGUAAAUACUCUACAAGAAAAGUAAGAACGUACGAUUCUAACCCUUAAGCAGUGGCGCCACUUUUGCCGUCCAUUCCUUCUAUCACUACAAGAAAAUGUUAAUCACAGUAGUAAAAGGUUCAAAUACAACUUGAAAAAUCCAAAACGUUGUAAAACUGGAACAAGGGGAAAAAAGGGACUGAAGAAGCAGAAAAUUUUACCUUAAUCAAACUAAUUCAGCUUCUUCGAUGCGUGAUUGAGGGGAAUUUGGAGGAAAGAGUGAAGAAGAAGCCAGUCUAAUUGGAGUAAAUUAGGAUUAACAAUUACGUGGGAAAAGGAGAAUGACGAAAUUUGAAUUGAGUGAGUAACCGAUUGGGAUUUUUUUUUUCCAAUAGUAAAAUCUUAAUUAUGUGCAAAAAAAGGAAAGAAUAUAAUAACUAUGUGUAAAAAAAUGAAAGAAUAUACUUAGGUGAUAAAAUCUAGGAAUAGAUUCAUUUGAAUUUGAACCAAUGUAAUAUUGCUCUACGGAUCUGUUUGUUUUUAUCUGUUCUCGGGAUAUAAUUUUCUCAAGGGUUAAGUGCUACCAAUGGGUAGGAGGCUAACAAAUAACAAUGGAUUGGGUAAAAUCUCAUAGACACUUGGCUUGGUACUUAAUCCAAUUGUAUGAUAUGGAUUAGAGCUAUACAUAUGAUGGUUUUUCUCAGGAUAUAGUUUUUUAUUUUUCUUUUACUAAUUCAAUUUAAUAUGACAAAGGUAAGUAAAAUUUAUUCUUGAAGGUGGAUGCACUACAAAUAAUUCAAAGUUUGUGCUCUACUGAGGAUGUACUUUUUCCCACCAGGCCUUGGAUCGAAAAUACUAGAAUAGGUUUAUCAUAUCACAACUCUACUAAUGUAAAUUGGGUUCUUAGAGACACAAACACGUACAAUAGCUCAUGAAUUGGUUCUUUAUGCCAAAUCAUCUGAUUAUGCUGAAUUCUUUUGGAAUUCUUCCCCAUUUUUUCCAAUCAUUUACCGUUGUUGGACGAUUUCCAACAAUUCUAGUAAUAAAAUUUCUUUUUCUUAUCAAAAAGAGGUAGGGAAAUUUUACAGCGAUGUUAGGAUUGUCUUUUGGGUGGCCAGAUAAGCUUCAUUAGCUGGCCAAAAGUUGGAAGUACAUUCUCAUUCACGGUUGACUUCCGAAUGUGUGAGAAAUAUGCUGGCAGUAACCUGAAAAAAUCCAUCUCUGAUGAUCUGCCUUCAGCAUUUAAAGGUUUUAAGUCUAUUGCGAUUGAUGCUAAACCGGUUGGAGCUGCUGUGACAAGGUACCGUCUCAAGAGACAAGGUAUCCAGGUUGACAUUGUCAAUAGCAUCAGGAUAGCGGCUGAUCUUUUCCGCAAGAAUGGUUCCAUCAUUCCUCUGUAAGUUUCUUGCCUCUGGUAGAAUUACAUUCAUGCUUUUGCACUUCACUUUCUACUAUUUUCAAUCCAGCUUGACCGAAAUAGUUCUGUCUUUUACUUUUUUAAUGCACUUAUUUUAAUUUGAUUUGUCAGAUCUUUAGAUUGACGGGACAAUCUUAAAUAAAGUCAAGCCUGAAUUGGAUAAUAACUUGUAUCUCAAUGGAUUCCUUCUUUCUUUCUGGUGGAAAACUCUGCAUUCGUUAGUGUUUGUUGCAAAAUUAAUUAUUUUUUCCUUUUGCAAAAUCUUGAAAUAUUCUAUUUCAGGUUUUGAUUAUUGUUUCGUGGAUAUAUUGGAAUGAUUAAUCUGAAGCUUCACCUGCCACUUAGUCUAGUUCCCUAAGAACGUUUUUUUUUUUUGUGCUUGAGUCAUUCUAUGUUAAAGUUGAGAUGUUGUACUACCUAUUUGUAUUCAUGGUAUUGUAGUUUUGGUGAAGAUUGGUGUAUGUCAUGAGAUUCAUUUUAUGUUAUCUAAUGGAUGGUUUUAUUCAUUAAUACUCAAAUAAAUAGCAGUUAUUUUGCUUUAAACGGAUUUCUAUCUUUUUCUUCUUCUUAAUGCACUUUAUUGAGGUGGCUUGAGAAUGGAUUUCUUUCUGGUUUUGGCCUUCAAAAAAUGGAAAAGAAAUAAAAGCAGUAAGCGAAAAAGGGUUGUUUUUAUAACUUGCAAGUCUGCCAGUCACAAGGCCUUUGGGGUCUUAUUUCAAUUUUGAUGGUUAACUAGCGCGUCCCAAUAAAACUAACAAAACACGAACAAAAAUUUUUUAUGACUAUCAUUUACAUGUCACAAAUAAAUUCUUAUUUUUUUUUUAACUUUUUGCUACAUUCAAAAUACAAGGAACAAAAGAUAUUCUUACAAGUCACAAUUGACAUUCAUAUACAAGUCGCAAAAAUUUUAAACAACACUUAAGUCUUUAACUUCCUAGUUGCAAAUAUAACAUUUUGUAUUUCACACAUAAUUAUACUUUUGCACCUAAAAAGUUUAGUGCAUUUAGAUAAUUUCUUCAUCUUCCUUCUUCUCUAAAUGGGAGACUUCUAAAUAAAUGAUUGUUUUUAUUGUAUUGACAAGAAAAUAAUUUGAGGAUUUGAGUAAAAGAAAAGUAUAAAAAGUUACAAAAAAAUAUGAAGUUUGUCAUGAGGAAUUUGAAAUAACAGAUGCUUAUGAAUAUGAAUAUAUAUAAUUGUGUUAGUUAUGUUACAUAUGAUUAUUAAAUGAAUAUAUUGUUAUUACUUAUCAUGUGAAAACCAUUAUUAAGAGUUAUGUUUUACAAGGAUUAAAUAUAUUUGCAAUUAUUAGUUUGUGCCCUCGCUGGGAAGUAUUUCUAGCUCCAGUGCUAGCAACGAGAUUCAAAUACACGAACUUGGUCGAGGAAGUGAUCCAACCUUAAUAAUUGAGUCAACCCUAGGUAUCAAUUUGUAGUUGGUCUAAUAAUCAAAACUCUUGUCUAAGACUAAAAGUUUUGGGGGUUAUAUAUAUACUACAACUUGUAUUACAGUUGUGAAGAUUAAUGAAGAUUUGGAAUUUUUUUUUGUGUAAGUACUACAAGGGGCAUAUCGCCUAAAAAUAUUUCUUCUGCCCUCUUAAGCAUGGGUAAACUAGUUCAACCAAAAUCAUAAAGGAAUUAUUUUUUUUGGUUUUAUUAGAAAUUAUCAAUUAUAUUAGUAACUACUCAAGUAAAUAUACCCAUCUAUUAUACAUUUUUAUGUUCAUUAAAGUCUUUAACAAAAUAAUCUUUGCAAUGUAAACCACUUUCUAUGAAAAUCAUUUUUACAAAUGAUUAUAAUUUUAGGUAGUUGUACACAAAUAGUGUGUCUCAAUCACUAGCUAGUUCUUAUAAUUCACAAAUAUUGAUUAUCUUAGUUAUCCUAAUUAAAUUACAAAAUAUUUCGAUAGUGCGUUACCUUAUUAUACCAUAUUGAUGUGUUGCAUUAUCAACUCUGGAUUAAAUUAACGAAGCAAAGCUACAUACAAUUAAGAAUCCAAAUCCGGAUUCUAACAAGAGUAAUUAAGGAUAGAAAGAAGAUAUGCUAGGAAGAAAGUUAGUUUUGUUACUUGAUAAGUGUAAAAUGACUCUCAGAACUAAUUUGGAAAUUUUCCUUACUAGAAAGUAAAAAAAAAAAGUCAGUUAUGAGCCGCGGCUACUUGACGCUGUCUUCUUCUUGCUGUUGCCUUGAUGUUAACGAAACAACGAAGAGUUUCCUUCUAGCAUUAGGAUCUCUGCAUCUUCCCUGGAUUUCUUGCUUAUUAUCCACUAAGCAGCCCCUGCGGUUCAAGGGCUUAUUGUUCGUUUUCCUUUGAUCUUUUCAUCCUUCCAUCCUCAUUUCAGAUUUUCUUCUGUAGUUGAGUAGUAUAAAUUUCUGCUGCAUCACUAUUCCUUCCCUAACCAUUAUUUGUAAACAUGGUUUCUUGCCAUCUUCCCAGAUUGAUGGGGAACAUCUUAAGGAAGCCGCUAAAGGAUCUUGUGCCUCUCCCGAAACGACCGCUUGAUGUCGAUCACGUUGAUAUGGACUUUUCGGACGUGUUUGGACCUCUACCUACUCAAUCACCUGAUGCAAACGAAUCUUCUGAAGAUCCAGAUUUGAUUUCCGGCCCUAGGGACAAACUCGAGAAGUUGUCUCUUGAGAGUACUACUGGUAUCUUGAAGAAAGAUACUGUUGAAGGUGCUGCAAUAGGGCUGGAGGACUUCGAGGUAUUAAAGCUUGUUGGCGAAGGUGCGUAUGGAAAAAUUUAUCAAGUCAGGAAGGUGGGUACAUCAGAUUUUUACGCGAUGAAGGUCAUCCGAAAAGCUAAGAUUGUAAAAAGCAAUCUUGCUGAUUAUGUGAAGAGUGAGAGGGAUAUAUUGGCAAAAGUCGAUCAUCCCUUCAUAGUUCGUCUCAGAUACUGUUUCCAGACCAAGUAUAGACUAUACCUUGUUCUUGAUUUUGUCAAUGGUGGUAGCCUUUUCUCUCAAUUAAGCAGGCAAGGCUUGUUCCGUGAGGAUAUAGCUCGAACCUACGCAGCUGAGAUUGUCUCCGCUGUGUCUUAUCUCCAUGCUAAUGGAAUAUUGCACAGGGAUCUUAAGCCAGAAAACGUACUCCUGGAUGCAGAGGGACAUGCAAUGCUAACUGAUUUUGGCUUGGCAAAGCAAUUUGAAGAUCAGAAGAACACCCGAUCUGACACUAUUUGUGGAACCACGAAAUACAUGGCACCGGAAGUUGUUCUUGGGAGAUAUUAUGACAAAGCUGCUGACUGGUGGAGUCUGGGCAUUUCCUUGUAUGAGAUGCUAACAGGAUUUCCGCCUUUCAUGGGUGAAAACCAACACAUACUUCAGGGGAAGAUCCUUAAGGAUAAAAUCAGGCUCCCACCUUUUCUGUCAAGGGAUGCACAUUCACUGUUAAAAGGGCUACUGCAAAAGGAUGCAAACAAACGCCUUGGAAACGGGCCGACAGGUAGCGAAGAGAUAAAGGGCCACAAAUGGUUCAGGUCUAUCAACUGGAAGAAGUUAGAGGCUCGGGAAAUUCAACCAAGUCUUGUUCCACAAAUUACUGGAAAACAAUGCAUCACCAACUUUCAGGAGUGCUGCACUAACUUGCCUGUGAUUGAUUCUCCAGCUUCCAGUCCAAGAUGAGCCAACAAUACCUUCCAAGGAUUCACUUAUGUAAGGCCUGCAGCUGCUUUUUAACAAUAACAGCUAAUAAUUAGUCAGGUAGUCCAUGGAUAGUCUGCUGCUCUGCUACUGUUGUAUUUGUUGUCAUAAUUAUCUUGUCUCUGGAGCCUGGAGGCAAUAUAUAUCUGAAGAAUCUGGAGUAUGGCUUAUGUAAAUAUCUGUUUUGUGUAAUAUUAAUGGAGAAACUGUUUUGAUGAAUGUAUUACUCCUCUUGUUUGUGUAUGCAUGAUUUGUUCUAAUACCUAACAACAAUUACGGGCUGAAAGGAAAAGACCACAGCAGCCACGGGACUCUUUUGAUUGUAGCCAUGGAAUUCUCUAUACCUAGAAAAUAUGUCCAUCAACCAAGAAUUGGUUCUUCUAGGUCCCCUUUGUUUCCACAAGAAAACAAAGCUCAAAUUCUGAGAACUGCCGAAGUAGCUUAAGAAAUUUUUAAUGUCGAGUAAAACAAGCUUUAGGAACCGACCAUAAUGAUAAUCAUUAUUGUCAUAACUAGAGUCUUAUGACUUUGAUUUGUAUAGAUUAUAGACCUAUAUAUGACUUUGAUUUAUGUACAUUCACAGAAAAUUGAAACCAUAAAGUUGAGUUUCUAGGAUUCAGAGCCCUUGAAUUCAAAUCUUACGAUUCAUAAGUUUCAUUAUUUGCCUUAAAAUUGUAGAGAUUGUUGUAAUUUGAUUAACCUGUAAUUAAUUUAUUGUAUUAAUCCCACAAUUGUGCUAAAAAUAUUUCACCUAUAAACCUUUUUCUCUUCCACGAAUUUCCCAUUGCGAUCUAGCUAAACUUCCAAUAUCGCAUACUGCUGAGAACUUUCAAAAUCCUAUGCUCCAGUCUUUGAUUCAUUAGUCCAAUAAAAAUCCUAUAAGUUUGCUACUUCCAAAAAAGUGCCUAUUCUUAAUCAUCCCUUCCGAGUUAGGGCGCCAAAUUCUAUCAAAACCACAAUUACUAAAGCGCAGAAUUGCCUAUUAUUGAUACGUAAAGUCCAGAUACUUCUCUAUUAACUAUAAUCCGGGAUUUUAAUAGUCUGGCCAAAUUUAAAAAAAUACCACAAGUACUCAGAAUCCUGAUGAUAUCUGGAUUUUGAUGUUCUGAGAUCAGCUGUAGCUCCAGCCUCCAUGCAUGUGUUCAAGAAUUCCUAAACUAAUAGUGGUUAAUUAGCUUAGUCCAUUCUCCAAAAUCUGCGUUUUGUGGCACCAAAAACUCCCAUAAAAACUUCCCCAAGAAAUCCAUAAAACAUCGGUCCAGAGAGGGUUGAGUGAUGAGAGUUUAAGUCCCUUGGUCCACCUUGAAAGUCAGCAAUUGCCUUUUGAGUUGGGUUGAGGAUUAGGUGUAAAAUUUCUUCCUCUCUAUUGUUGGAAAGAAAUCCAUAAAACAUAGCGAAUUCGCAGUUACUAAAUAAUAUGUCCUGUUUUACAUCUCAGAAUAAUGUUUCAGUUUGAAGAUCUAAAGUAAGAACCGAAGGAAGAGUUUUAUGCGUCCAAUGCAAAAAACCAUGGCUAGCACUUGGCUGGGUUGAGAAAUUGCUGCAGCAUUCCAUAAAUUUCCUUGUUUCAUUCAGUUGACAAAGGCAUCUCCCUUCAUUAUCAAUAACAAGAAUCAGUAUCCCACCUUCCAAUGUCCUAUCACAAAGAACGUAGAAUUCAACCAGUUUAUAUUUCAUGGAAGAAGUAUAUCUUAUACCUGAAAAUUAGGGAUUCUACCUAUACCUGAAAAACAAAUGUUUCCUUCUAGAGUUUCUACCUAUACAUACAGGCAGCAAUAAACUGCACGGAUUUGAAUGUCACAUUUCUUCCCCCUUUUUUUGUUGGGUUGGGGGCAGGGGGUUGUUGAUAAGCAAGAUUACUUGAAUCCCACUUUCCCUCGAUGUACUUCAGAUUGCGCUUUGUAUUAUACCGUUCAUGCACAAGAAAAAGUGUGCACUGAUCAGAAAAUGCAAAUUAUACCAUUUGCUUUACAUAUCUUGGUGCUACAAAUCAUUGAAUGGACGUGUGAUUUUUCAGAUUGAUUUUCUUCUGCAGUUCUGCUUCUUGUACUUCUAUUAUGAUUCCCAAAUAUGUAUGAAUCAUACUGUUAGGUCUUCACUUGUAAGAAAUAACUCUUUAGUAAUGGACGUAUAUCCUGUGAAUGAUUCCCUUGAAAAGAUUCUCCAGAGAACAUCCAAUGAUUGGUGGACCGGAAUUGUUAAAAUAUGUCAAACUAAGCUAUAAUCAUCAUGGAAAAGUGGAACCAUCCAAGAAAGAGAGAAUUUCUAUAGUGAACAAAAAGAAGGCAAUUACAUCGAAAAACAAAAGUUACCUGGCAGUAAAGCAAAAUAUUCCGAAUGAAGCAACUUUGCCAUAAAACAAAAGAAAAAGGAAAAUUGUAGAUUCCACAGUACCAGCAAAACAAAAAUGUGAAAUACUCUUACGAUCACAGUGCAACCAUAAAGAACAAUGAAAUUAAUCCAACCUUCAUGACACAACAACAAUCAAUUAAGGGGGAAAGAAAGACUCAUCUCACAACAAUGAUCCUAUUCUAAUUGCAACCAAUCUUUCUUCCCUCUUCUUCCAUCUCAUACUGAUUUUCCAUUUUUUUUCUUUUUUGAAUAGAAAAAAAGAGCAACUAACUGACUGGAAAUUUUGGAGAAACCAAGGUCUUGGCAUGCGGAAUAUACCUCCAAGUCUCAUUCAUUUGAAAAACCCUACCCUUCUCCAGGUGAAAUGAUUUGAUCACUCCUGUCUUCACAUUGUAAGUAAUGCAGUUUCUCGUCGGAUGUAUCUUAUGAUGGUAGCACCUUUCAUUUGGGAUUCCAUCUUCAUGUACAACGUAGAAGAUUACAAUCUCCCCAUCUUUCAGCCAACCAACAGGCACAAUUUGAAACCCUCCUGGACAUAAACUGCGCCGAAGCAUUUGCUUGUGAGGCCCUAGAUCGAUAUUGGCCAGCUUAGUCCAUUCUCCAGUUUCUGCAUCUUUUAGCAACCACAGCUCCCAAGAAAACUUCCCCAAGUAAUCCAUAAAACAAAGUGACUGCCCAGUUCCCAAAUAUCUCCUUCUUUUCAUCUCAGAACAUUGUGGAGCAGCACAUAUGUAGAAAGUCUCAGUUUCGAGAUCUAAAUUAAGAACUAAGGGAUGCUGAUCAUGUGGCCAAUGCAAAAUCCCAUCAGUACUCACAAUUGGCUUCUUGAAAAUUAAGUCAAUGCCUCUAAAUUUCUCAAAUUUCCAAGUUCCAUCCAGUUGACAAAGACACCUCCAUUCUUUAUCAACACCAAGUGUCAGGAUCCCUAUUUCUAAUGUCCACUGAUGACUAUAGUAGAACUCAACCAGUUUAUAUUUCUUGGAACAAGUAUAUCCCAUAGCCGAAAAACAUAUAUUUGCCUUGGCUGCAGCUGAAGGAGGAGGGAUGUUUACGACUUCCUUUGUAACCAAAUUUGCAACAUAACGAUUUUCCUUUUCACUUUUACCCAUUAACACCAAACCAUUACAGCUACUCAUACUAUAUAUUGGCAAAGCAGAAGAGUCUAACUCAAUGACCUCAAGAUCACGUUUCACCAUUUCCACAUAAUGUAUAUAGUAUUCUGGAUAGCUUUGCCUGAUAAGGAUGCCCCUGUCCACCUUUUGGAGGUGCGCAUCAACAAAUGUUGGACUAGAGAUUAUCUUGUACCACUCCCGACAGACAUACCUCACCACAUUGUAAAGUAUGUCAGCAGGAAGGUAGACGAGAAUAUUGAAGACAAUUUCUGGUGAAAGGUAAGGGAUAGAAGACCUCUGUUUCUUCUGAUCAUUAGUGCGAGGACGUAGGUUAUGCCUCUUACAUUGUCGAAGGCUACCUGAUGCACACCAUCCCACUCUCUUGUGAGCACGACGAGGACGGAGGUUGUACCUUUUGAGCGUAUGGCUGACCUCCAUGGCCAUCUGGGUUAUAAAACAAUCAGUAAAAUUACAGCAUAUUUAGGUGCGGGGAAGGUAAAAGAAAGAGAAUUGAGCAUAUAGUUGACCCCAUUUGCCAUCUGGAUUACAAAAGAACUGAAGUUGGUGUUCUCUGCUAAUUACUUGUUACCAAUCAGUAAAACAACAACACACUUAAGGGAGAGAAAAAAAGAAAGACAAAAAAUAAAUAAAUAAAACGGACGACAUGGAGAGAAUUGAAACUAGCAUAAUUAGAGUUAAGUCUCCAUUGCAAACUGCCAGCAUAAAAUGUAAACGACGAACAUAUUGUGCAAGAAGCUCAAAAUUAACAGGAAACUGAACUUUGAAAAUUUAAGUCAACACCAUCAACAAUAAAUACAAAUGCAUUCCAAAUCCAUUCCAAAUUUUCAAAGUUCCAAUAGAUGAUCCAGGAACGGAUUUAAACAAAACCAAUAAAAAAAGAGAGCUGGAGCAAUAUUUUAUGUUGGGUUCAUCUGUUUUCAGAAAUCCAAGGAUCCCAGAAACUUCCAGCUGACAAAGUCCAAAGCCAAAUCAUUAAACAGAGAGGGAGAGGCCAAAAAAAAUGAAGUAAAAGGCUGUCUAUCAACAAAUGGAACAAGGCAUUUAUGUGUAUAAGCAAAAGCUAUAUUCGACUCUCAAACCCUGUUCUCUCCUCGUUCCCCCUUAUAAGGCUUGAACCUUGGGGUCUACCUUUGCAAAAAAAAAUCCCAUUCUUGCAUUUUCUGCAGUGCCUCUUUGCUUAAGAUCCACAGAAAAUCUUCAGUGGACAAGAAUAAUAACGUAAAUGGUGUGUAGACAAGGAUAACAUUGGUUUGCCAUGACUGGAAACUAAAGCGGCUAUAGACUCUAAUGCACCGCCAUUAAAACAUAAAAGUAUUUGAUAGACUCCAAUGCACCGCUAUUAAAACAUAAAAGUUAUUUUGUUAUAUUAGUAUUUGAUAGAUAAGCACAAGUUUGAAACAACAAUCAUGGCUUUUUAUUUCUGCCGGGGAAAAAAUUGCAAAAUGAUGAGCAAAGAUAUCAAUCAAGAAAAAAAUAAAGAUUCAAAUCCAUUUUUUUCCUUUUUUUUUGGCAGCAAACAAGGUUAAUUGCAUAUUGUGAGCAAGGAUAUCAUUCAAGACUUCUUGAUCCAGUAAACAAAUAUUCAAUCCUUUUUUGGGUUUUUUGGGGAGGAUAAUUCCCCUAAACAUUUAUCUAACUCCAUCCCAAAUCAAUUUAAGAUUUUCAAAUUCCAGAAUCAGCAUUUUCUGCACAAACAAUUGAAGAAAAAGGCGCCUUUUGAAGUUUCAGUAAUCAUAAACUGAAUAAUUGAAAGUAAAAAAAAAAGAACAUCUUGGAAACUUACAGUUGAAUUUUUCCAAAGCAAAAUCGCCCAAAAAAAAACAGCAAAACGAACUAGUAAGAGGAUAAUUAUGAGCAAAAGGCAUAUGGGAUUCUUAGGCACCCGACCCGACCCGACAGUUAUCCUGCUGGAUGAUCCAUUUCAUCCACCUCAGCUGCAACCCACCCGAAAAAGAAAAACUCCGUUUAUGCACCCUAGAUUAGGAGUGAUAUCAAGUUGAGUCAAGAUUGAACAUUAUCAUACUUGACCUCGAACUCGAUACCUUGUAGCAGUAUUCAAAGUCGAACUCAAGCGAGUUAUUUGAACAAAGCUCGAGCUCGAUUCGAUGUGAUACUAAGAGGCUCGAACUUGACUCAAUAGAGCAAGAAGUUGGCGAGCUCGAUAUCGAGUUCGACUACUUGAGCUCGACAAAUGGAUAGGAUCGUAAAUAUCGUAAAUGACAACCUAAAAAGGUAAUUUAAUUAUUUAUAAUAUAUUAAUUAAAUAUUAUACCAAGUACUCGAUAGAACUCAACGAGCUCUCAAGUAUAUGAUAUAUAUAUUCGAGUUUGACUCGAAACCUCAAUCAAGUAGCUCAAACUCGACUCGAACUCAACAUUAACCGAGCUCGAGUCAAGAGGUUGAUCGAGCUACUCGUGAGUUCAAGUUAAGUUGCUCAAUUAAAUUGCACCCCUACCUAGAGUGGGUUGGAGCUCUCAAAGUUUGAUGAUUAUUCGAAACUCCGGAUUGUCCACCAAAACAAUAUCAUAUGAGUAUUGGAGUUAAGUAAUAUCAUUUCUCUUCAUUGAGGUUUAUUAAAAAACGUGAGAUUCGGCCAUAUUACAGUCUUCCGCUUACCAAAAUCUAUAAUAAAUAUAGGGUAAAUUACUAAUAAUCCAUCUUUGAUUUCAUCUAUUGCCAUAUAAACAUUUUAAUGUUUCAAAAUAUCCAUUUCAAAAUAUAGUUCCUUGUAAACUAGAAAUUUAACAGAAAAUGGUCUAUGUAACCGUUAAUGCAAAUAAAAUAUUUUGUUGUAUCAACUAGUGUCCAUUAAUAUCAAUUAGGAUCUUACCUUAUAUAAUAUUAGUCUAGGUUCAUUUAUUCUAAGUGUCUGGCUAGAUUCAUUCCGAACAGCUUAUAAAUAGUGUGUAACUAGUGGAAUCGGCGGACUGGAAUCUCAAACACGAAGAUAUAGGCUAUGGGGGAAUGCUGGAUUGGCAAAUCUUAUUUCAAAUGUUGGUCUAUUCCGCAUGGAGUUGUACCAACAACUAAAAAGACCACUACAACAAACUUACAUUUCCAAAAUACCCCUCCCUUUUUAAUUCAUGUAACUAAUUACCUACUAAACCACAUUCUCCCCAAUUUAAUUAGAGAUUAAGGAAGUUUAGGUAAUUACAGCCACACAAAGGCUAUUAUCACUUGUUCCUACUGCUAAAAAGACAAUCAAAAUAAUCAUACAUUCCCAUAAUACCCAUUAAAAGGCACAACCUCAUUUCUGGAAAUGUACGGCAAAAGAACUCACCAUAAAUUGUACUCUGUGAAGUACCCACAAGACAAAAAAUCUUACAAUUCUAAAAUGACCUUACGCUUGCAGUUGAAAUUCAAAGACCAUUUUCGCCUUAAACUCGUUCUUAUAUGGUACAAGGAAUCAUGUAUCCAACAAACAUUUUUCUCCCAAAUAAUUCUUCCAACAUGCUAUUAAGAGCUUUGUGCUCAAUCUAUCAGUAGUCAAUUUCCGAUUACUUUCAUUGAUUACCACAGCUAAAAUUAACAUGAAAGAGGUAGACAAUCAAGUUAACUCACAUUGCUUCUUGUUCUGAUACCUAACAACAAUUACGGACUUAAAGGAACUAGAAGGCAUGCAUGUAAUCAUUAAAACUACUUCAACAAACAAGAAAUAGUAAUCAAUUACAUAAGAAAUAAAACAAAGGAGAAACAAAUACUUGAAUAUAAAUGAACUACAAAUACCGAAUGUAUCUUCUCACAACCAACGAUGGAGAUGGAAGUUUUCUCCCUUGAACUGAAUUAAAAAUUUUAGCUACUCAUCUUCUAGAGAAAAUGCAGAGAAAAAGAAAAAGAAAAUAACUAAGGUAUGAAUAGGAUGCUCUUGGCGUAUUCUAAUGCUCCCUAUUUAUAGUAAAAAAAACUGCCAUUAUCAAAGCUAAAAGAUAAGGACAUAAGGACAAGACAUUUGAAAAAUCUCUCAAUUCCCACCAAACUUCUUUCCAAAAAUUAGUUGUUUGGUCAAUGUAUAAUCACUUGAUAAGAUUUCCAAAAUGCAAAUGUCUUUCCAUCUUAAGUGCUUCUAAUAUAUCUCUUCCACCGCAAUAUUCUUGAUUUUCCUUCAUAUCUUCUUAAUUCAAACUUCCAGCAUGAUUUUUUUGCAAAGAAUUUUUCUAACGGAUGCCCCAUUAAUACAACUAGUAUUCACCUAACCUACCAUAUAUAUAGAUAUACUAAUAAUUAUUAUCCUCCCAUGCAUUUAUAUACUUUUCCUAUUUAAUCUUACCUAUCCUCCCUUGUAUUUAUUACUUUUUCUAAUUAAUCUUAUAUUUUCAAAAAUAUAACACCUGAAAUAUAUUUUAAUAAGUGCCCUAUAGGCAUUCGUUAGACAAACCGUUUUGCAAAUCAUAGAAAAUAUACUUAUAAUUUGACAAAUCUAUAAUAAAAGUUAAGUAAAUCAGAAGAUAAAUAUAUACAAAUAAUGUAUUUAUUAGAUGUAAACCAAACUUAAAAAAAAAAAAACCCAAAGUGUAGGCGCACAUCACAUAUGCAGUUAUAUUAAUAUCUUUUCUUAAAAAACAUUACAUUUUGUAAAACAAGUAGUUUGGCUAAUAGUCACAGUCAAAAAAAAAAAAUAUAUAUAUAUAUAUAUAUAUAUAUAUAUUCAAAGUGUAGCUGCACAUACUAUCACUUUUAAAAAAAAAAAUGUUUGCAUUUUAUAUUCCAGUCCCCAAAGACUGGAAUGCAAAAAAUGCAUGUGCGACGACAUUUUUUAAAAAAAAUAUAUAAGUUUCUCCAAUCACUGCAUAUUGCAUGUGCAGCGGCCCUAGAUUUAGAAAGGGAUCUAAAAACUCCUAAUUUUGUAUUUUUUUCAUCAUGUGCGAAGACAUUGUUUUAAAAAAAUAUAUAAGUUUCUCCAAUCAUUGCAUAUUGCAUGUGCAGCAACCCUAGCUUUAGAAAGGGAUCUAAAAACUCCUAAUUUUGUAUUUUUUUCAUCAUGUGCAAAGACAUUGUUUUAAAAAUAUAUAUAAGUUUCUCCGAUCAUUGCAUAUUGCAUGUGCGGUGACCCUAGCUUUAGAAAGGGAUCUAAAAACUCCUAAUUUUGUAUUUUUUUUCAUAAUUCUUUUGAGAAAUUUGCCUCUGUUUAGAUAUAAGCCGAAAAUUCAAAACCCCACUUCACUUUUUGGUCCAAUAAGAACACCAAUAUUUUUUUCCCUGUCCAUUUACUUCCGACAUAUUUUCAACUUUAUAUUUUCUAAUCAUUAUAGCUUAGUCCUUUAUAUUUUACCUUUGACGUAAUUGGUGGCUGAACUUUGUUUUCCCUCAAUUUUAAGCAUAUUAAUUAUUUGUCAACUUCUUUCCAAUUCAAUUGUUUGAUUUUAUUUUUCGCGCAACCAUCAACCUGCAUAGAUUAUCCUUUUCUGAGUUUCAUCACGGAGCUAUGUUUUGUUUGCGUUGCCUUUGGUUUAUUGAUAUGAAAACUUGUUUAGUCUAUUCAGGGCACCAUUCACUCAAUAUGUAUCUCUCAAUGAUGAUAGCAAUUUAAAUUUUAAAAUUAUUAAAUCUAAGGUUCAAAAAUAAUUAUUUCACCAUCCAACAUCAUAUAACCCCAAAAAUGUACUUUAGAUUCUCUCCAUCAAUAUAGACUAAAAUAAUUUGUGAUUAUUGCCAAGUAUGGAACUUUCUAUAGGGUGUAGUGAGUCUUCAAACUUUUCUAUAGGAUUAACGAAAUUAUGCCCUUGUUUUUUCUUUUUUUUUUUGGGCUAAAUUAUGCUCUUGUUAUUGGGUGGAUUUUCGGCUCUACAGCAUGGAGAUUACGUACAUGUAUGCCUUACUCUCUUGUUUAUUUAUAUAUUGGUCACGUCUUACUCACCAAAUGGGGACAGUAAAUUUGACAACCAUAUAGGACUUUAUGCGGUUAAACGUAAACCACCAAGGGAUUAAAGGUGACUCCGCCAACCAUAUUUAUUUUUAAAAACAUUUUUGUUUUUUCUCUGGAUAAAGUGCAACAAAAACUUAGUUGAACAUUAAUAAUCACAAAAUCAAAUAUUUACUCACGGUCAAGCUUACAAUAGCAUAAUGAAUUAUUUUGUGGGCGAGCACGAUUGAUGUAGAUAAGCACCUCCUACAAUUUUUAAUACAAUUAUGUUCCACAAUUAAUACCAAUUGUACAAAUAAUUAUGCAUUCGGCUCCGUAAGAUUAAAGAAUAGUACUAGUAUUUUGCAGUUUUUCAAGAGUAUGAUCGUUAAGGAACUUCUUUCAUAUUAAUAAUAUCUCGUGUCCUUGUUAAGCCCUCCUUGAUUUAGUCUUUCACUGGUUAAAGAAAACUUUUGAUGCCAUGAUGCCUUAGUGAAUGUUAGUCUAGUGCUCAUAUCAAGAUGUAAAGUUGAAUUUUGUUCAAAUUGGACAUUUUUGUAUGUGGGGCUUGUUCUCAUUUACUUUAACAUGUGAUCAAAUACUUUUUUUUUUUUUUGUUUUUUGAACUUUUUGGUAGGAAAAUGUUUGGAUGGGUUCGACUCUGAUUAGCACCACAUGUCAUGACAUACCUCCGGGAUCAUAGGAGCUUAUAGAAAUUCUUACAGAUCACUCAUCAACACAAUUCUCAUAUCGACAAUGAGAUUCGAACACGCGAUUUUUUUUUGAGAAAGUGAUUUGUUCUUACGAAUUGAACCAACUUAUAUUGACUUUUUUGUAAUGCCUUCAGCAAACAUGUGCACUUCUUUGCCUUUCAACCGUGCCUCUUCGCCUAAGAUCAACGUAAUCUUCGAACCUUUUCUGUUUUAGCUUUGGAAACCAACCUGCCUCUUCUGAAUUUUGAGAGUGAAAAAGGAAUAAAUUUUUCUUAGUUUCCUCCUAUACGAGCGGAGGAGCUAUCCUGCACUUAAGUGGUAACCCUCCGGCAAAACAAAGACUCCAUUUUGGGUAAUCUAGAAAAAAUCAAUUUAAACAUCUUAAAGUUUAGACAAUAUUGAAAGUUUUGGAUUGCCUGCCUAAUCAACAUUACAUACUUUUGUAAUAUGUUAAAAGACGAUUGUGAAAUUUCUUGAACUUUUUAGAUAUGCUGAUAAUUUUUCAGAUCAUUAUAUUUGUUAAAUUGCAGAUCUAUAAUAUUUGAUACAUAUUUAACCUAUCAUUAGAGCAAUUAUGUUGGAUGACUUUCACCGAUCUGUGCACUUCUAUAUGCAAUUUUAACGUCUCGUCAGUUGUGACCAAACUAGAGGUGCAAAAGAGUUGAGUCGAAUCGAGUUUUGACCUAAUCAAGUUGAGUUUCAACUUAAUUUUAUAAACUCGAACUCGAGUUCGAGCUUAACAAGUUCAAAAUAUAAAACUCGAGCUCGAACUCGAGCUUAAAAAAUAAAUAAAAUAAUAUUUUUCUUAACAAAUAAUAAAAUAUUAGGAAUAUAUAUAUAUAUAUAUAAUCGAGUCAGGUUGCGAACUAACAAACUGAAUAUCUUUAAAUUCGAACUCGACUUAAUCUGCUUAAACUCGACUCGAGCUACUUGUGAUCUGUUCGAUUCAUUUACAGCCCUAAACUAAUCGCAAGCAGCUCGAUUCUUUUGUAACUCUAGACCAGACAAUAUUACGGUCACAAGAUAAAGACUGUAAAUGGGACCCACGCUAACUUGAUUAUUAGGCCUUUCAAAAAUGGGACAGUGCUUUACCUGAAUUUGGAUGGGAAUGGGAAUAGGAAAGAAUUAACCCCGAUUUAAGAAUAGGCCAAGUUUGGGUUAAUAUAAACUUGGCCCAACUAAGACACAAUCCAUUAUGCCUAUUUAAAAAAAUUUUCCAAUUGAUUUUAUACAUUUGUGAGUGGUUUUUUAGAUGUAAUUGCAUUUAGGGUCUGUUUGGUUGGAAGUAAAAUGUUUUCCUUGGGAAAAUAUUUUCCGUGGAAGUAAUUUUCCAUGAAAAUCAUUUCCCUUUCAUCAUUUUCAGGUGUUUGGUUAGCUUAUUGAAAAUAUUUUCUUACUUCAUUUUUCUGGUGUUUGUUUAACUUUUGAAAUAUUUUCACUUUUAUCUCUAUCUUUACUUUUUUACACAUUAUAACUACAUACUUCUUCCCAUGCAAAAUAAGAAAAUUUAUCUCAUUGUUUAACUUUAAAAAAAUCUUGGAGAAAUGUAUAUAUGAAUAAAAAAUAUCUCCUUAAGCAAUAAACAAAUUGCUGGCCAUUUAGUGUCAAAUAUCAAUCACAUGCAAUGCUUAUUGUGACAUAUAUCUUGCACUCUCAUGUUGAAAGUUUCUCUAGAAAAGAAUGUCCCUAUUAUACAUAAUUAAUUACUAGCAUAGGAUGAGCAGGAUGAGAUUUUUUUUUUAUUUUGAAUAUACUAGGGGGAGGGCUGGGUUGGGUGGUAUGGGGGAGGGAAUGUAAGAAAGAGGUCUUGGGUUCGAGUCCUCCUGUUUACACUGAAAAAAAAAAAAAAAGAACAUACUACAAGAUGUUUUCAAUAAGUUUGGAACAUACUACAGGCGGGAUGCAUGCAUUUCGGAAAACAACUUCAGUAAGUUUGGAAGGGAAGUUGUUUUCCAUAAGAUGAGUGAAAAUAUUUUACAUAGGAAAAUGUUUUCAGUAACUUUUGUGCAACCAAACACAGGAAAUUAGGAAAAUAUUUUCCUGAAAAACAUUUUCACCCGAAACAAACGGACCCUUAAUCACAAAGGUUUGGAUCUUAACUAAGAUAUAUUCCUAUGAGGUACUUAAACAUCUCAUUUACAACUUACAAUGUAUCAUCGUUGAAAUAUUAGAGGUCUCUCCUAUUUGGGCUAAGCUUGGACUCGAGCAAAUGACUGGCCUAUAGGCCCAAAUUGACAAGCCUAACUCCCAAUUGGUCAAUGGGUAGAACAAAACCCAAUAUUUUCAUACUAUUAGUUGGACCUGAUAUAAUUUGCAAUACUUCUAGUGGUGAUAGAUGACAAACACUGGCAACCCAACUUUGGGUCUAAACAAUCAAACAAUCAGCCCAAAAUGUUUAACCACAGUUUAAUAAGCGAUAAUCCGGGGGAGGGAUGGGUGGAUUGUACGAGGGGAGGAAGUAUAAGUAAGAUAUCUCGGAUUCGAAUCCUCCUACUUAUAAUAAAAAAAAAAAACCUAUAACCCAAGAUCUUAUAGCCUCGUUCUCAACUAAUUUUAGAAACCUAAUAUUAACAUUUGGUUUUGAAAAAAAAUUAUUUUAUUGUGUUUUCAACUAUUGUUUUUGUAUUCUUAUUUUAGAUUUUUUUUGCGUCCUAAAAACAUGAAAAUCAGAAGCAAAGUCUUAUACUACUUUUGGAUUUUGAUCGCAGACUACUUCCUUGUGCAAAUAAAAAAUAUCUUCAAAAUUUUAGUGUAGUACAUUUUUAUGUGGCAUGCAAGGGCAAUAUGGUCAUAAAUUAGUUUAAAAAAAUAAGCUUUUGCAACCUUUUUUUUUUUUUUUUAAACAAGCAUGCAUUCACUUAAAUAGUUUUUUUUUAAUAGCAAAUCAUAACACAUGAGUUAUUAUGGAGAUCUAAUUUUCAAGAAUCAAUUCGAUGAGCUUUUACAAAUUGAUAAACAAUUAAGGGCAGGCCAUGUACAAAACAAUCAACUUCAUUUCUACCAUAUUGAGGUAUCACAUAAUUAAGAAGGGAAAAAAAAGAGUGAACAUUGAGGUAGUGUGAGCCACAUGACAGUGUGAAGAUAUUGAUUAUUACUUGUGCACUGCGUAAUACAUUAGAUGCUACAUUAGUUUCUAUUAUUUAGCACAAAGUAAUGAUAAUAAAUUAAUACCUUAUAUACUGCUAGUGUAGUACGCGUCAUGGUAUUUCUAUGUACGAACUCGCGCACAAGGUAGAGUUACAAAUGAAUCAAGUUUAAUCGAGCCGUUCUACAAAUUCACUUGAUCAAAAAUACCUUAUUUGAAUUUGAGCAGCUUGUAUAGCUAGACGAACUCGAGUAGAUUGAAUAAAAUUAAGUUUUUUCUAAGGGCAUUCUUAAUAAUGCAUAUUAGGUAGUGGGUAGGUUAUUUAAGGCCGCUUUUCAAACAAAACACAGUGAAAUCACUCGAAAAAUAUCAUAUGUUCAUAAUAAGGAAACAAACAUGGACUUACAAGAUCGAAUAAUCAUCAUCUAAAUGCUCUAAAAUACAGUAAAUCCUAAGAAUGGCAGUUAAAUUAUUAGUGUAACUCAAGAAUCAAGAUGGAACAAAUUACAAAAUAAGACAACUGAAAAAAAAAUAAUCUUCAAUUUGGGGUACGUAUGUGUCAAAUCAGAAGAAACUAAUAAAAAGAGCAAUUGCUAAGCCAACAAGUGAGUGUCUUUGCGUGGCUGUAGUGCUUUGUCCACCAUUUUUUGGAGAUGUAGGACUUGAAGCUGACCCUUCUGGGGAUGAAGUUUCUGUAUUGAAAUGAGAUAGAGAAAGAAUGACAAGGUAAGAAUGCACAGAUUACAGUAAGGAAAUAUUUUAGCAGUAUUUAUUUUACUUUUUCUCUAUUUUCCCUUAUUCUCCUUUUUUUCUCUUUGCAGGAAAUUUUAUUUUUCAUUGAUUUUAUACCCAACAAUAAUUACACCAGAAAGCUAGGGUGUACCUACUAUAUAAACUGGAUUCCAGGUUCAAAAUAACUCAUAGCUGCCAAUGGGACUAUAACAUCAACGUUACACAUGUUAUAUAUGGGGAAAAUGCUGGUAAAACUUAUAUUUUGUGGAAUCUACUCAACUUAGACCUGUCGACUAGGCUUUUAAAAUUUAUGGAAUUUCAUUACUUCUCUAGUUCUUUUUUGGUCCCUAAGGAUGGAGGGCUUCUUCUUCUUCUUUUUUUUUUUUUUUGGUGUCUUGCUCGAUGUAAAUUAUUUCAAAGAAACGGGAAGGGAAAAAGGGACUUAAAUUUAAGACUUCUAAUUCCGGACGUUUCAAUACAUAAUUAGUUAUUUCUUACUCUUUUUUUUUUUUUUUAACUAAUAGGAGUAGUAUGGAAUUUAAGAAACGAAUAGGGAGGACGGAAAUCAGAACCAGGACUUUUAAACACGAGAUCUCAACCUUAAUCAUUAAAUCAAAAUCUUUUUAAUUAUAGCGGAUACACUUACACUUGUUACCCAUUUUAUCAAGGCACUUUUCCAAAUUACUAACACCUGGGAUCAAAUAAUUUGUCCGAUUUUAAGACGAGUAUACAACCAUUUCUUAUUUUUCAGUCUUGAGAAAGAAUAGAAUUGGAAUUGCCAACCAUCUCCAAUUAAUGAAUUAAAAGACCCUUAUUAAUCAGUGCCUAGUGGACACUCAUAAAACAAAUUGGUGUGUGUAUAUAUGACAAUUUAUAAGGGCAUCCAUUUCAAAAAUCAUAAAAAUAAGUUAACAAAGAUUAUGGCCAUAGUAAGUGAAUCAAGAAAAUGUUAUAGAAAGAAGCAAGGUUUCAAAGACAUAAGGAGGCAUACCAGGGGAUGAACCUAAAGGACCACCCGCAGAAGCUGAAGCAGGAGCAGGAGCAGGAGCACCAACUGGGACACCAAGACCUGCAAAAUCAUAAAGGGAGAGAAUUUAGAAGCCAAUCCUCACCUAAGAUUGUCAAGAAAUUGUACAUGCUUUAGGCAAAUGUAUAUGUCCAUCCAAACAAGAAAAUUUGGGUUUAAAAUUUGGUCCAAGAAAAUCUACCAAAAACAAAAGAAAUAAGCACAUAGGAAGAAGGAAAAAAAACAAGGCUACCUGAACACGAACUGGGAGACGCAUCCACUUUACAAAUAGCAGGAAGUCCCAUGGCUUUGGGGAGAUCAAUAGGCAAAGGAGAUCUCUCAGGAUGAGCAAGAAGUUCACAUAAACAAACGGGCUGUGUUGCUACCAAAUUUGCAAGCUCAGGGCAGCAUGCUUUAUCAGGCUUAUUCUGAUUGCUUCCAGCCCCCACGUAGCUCAAGCAAUCUGUCAAGUUGCUUAAGUAUGAAACGCAGUCCAAUGCCGGACCCGGUGCGCCAGAAAACGGCCCCGGAGCAGCUGCAACUCCUCCUGAUGACCCCGGUGCUGCAGCUGGUGACAGAGCACUUGUCUUUAUAGGAAAUGCUACCAAAACUAUGGCUGCAGCAAGUAUAAAUGCGGCUGAAAUGGAAGGAGUUUUGGUGGUUUUGGCCAUUUCCGUGAUGUCCCUUUUCUUGUCUAAGUGUAAAUGUGUAAUAGUGUUUUUGAUGCUGAUGAUUUUGACGAUGAGAAGAGGGAAUAGUGCAAUAGACUCUAUAGUCAGUGGUAUGGGAUGUAUUAUAUAGUUGGGAGUUAGAAGGUUAACAAGUUGUGGCCAUGAUAAAGAAAGAAUGUAUAUAAGACAAAAUUGUACUCCUUUCGUCCCAUUUCGAUGGUCCUAUUUUUAUUUUUUAUUUGUCUCAAAUUUAGUCCACUUUCCAAUUGAAUAAUAUAGUUAUCUUUUAAUUUCUCUAAAAUACCCUUAUUUAAUGUAAGUUGUUAUUACUAUAAAUUUUUUUAUUUAAUAUAGAUUGUUAGUAUUAAAUAUAACCUAACUCAUUUAAUGCAUUUAAAUUUUCCAAAACAUAUUGAUAUAUGAAAAGCCAAUUUUAUUUAAUGUAAGGGUAUUUAGGAAAAUAGAAAUCUAAAUUUGUUUUUCCAAUAAAGUUAACUACUUUUUUCUUAAACUGUGUGAAAAAAAAUAACUAGAAUUAUCAAAAUGGAACAAAGCAAUUAUAAGAAUGGGAAAGGUAGUACUUAUUAUACAACUUUUGCCAGCCUAAAUAUUAAUUUUGCCUUCACCAACCAGUCAACUACCAGCAGGCUAUAUACAUGUCUAAUUUGAUGAAGUCUCAUAAAUUUUCCGUCUUUCACACUGUGAAAGCGCUCAUAUAGAGACAGCACGCAAUUGACAAAGUAUGAAAAGUCGCUUGAUUCGGACUCUUUGGUAGCUUUGAAGGAAUUAUUUUGAUUAGAAAAAUAUACUCAUUUGAAAUGAAUUCUUUAGCUCAUGCACAUUGAAACAAGCAAACAAAAAUUGGAAAAGUGCUACUACUACCAUUUAAGUGAUAGGGUAGAGCAAAAUCAUAAAUAUGUAAGUAGAUGACCAAGGCAACGAAAGUAGAAGGCCAAUUAUCUUUCUUUGGUUAAAUGCCAAAACCAUAUUGUUUUGUUGAAGAUACAAAAAUCAAGUGAAAAAAAGUCCACAUAUGUGUCUUUUGUAUGUUUCUUUGAAAUGACAUGUUCGAAAAUGAUAUUUAACUGCAAAAGUUAAUCUGAUUUAUACAUUUUUUUUUUUGAAAACGUUAAAUAUUCUCAUUGAUGGUAUGUAUGAACUACACACUUGACGAGCAAAUGUUCAAAGAGAGCUAUACAAGUGCAUUCAAGCAUUGUGUGUGAAACCAUUUCUCGUCAAAAGAUAUACUUAGAGCAUAAUUGCUUAUAUGACUAAUUCUAUCACUAUUCUCAUUGCUAGCCAAAACAAAUGAGCAUUUCACAGACAUAGUCUGUUUAAGCUAUAGAUGUCCUGUAGAUGAGGACAUCAGCAGCUUAAUCUCAUUUAUAUGUCGAGAGAGCAAAAUUUCACAAUUCAAGUUUAACCCGUAUGUGAUUUAUGAGUCAAUUAGCACCUCAUUUUGUAGUCUAACAUGUGCAAUUUUGACUUCAAACUCCUUAUAUACAAUUGUCUAAAAGGAGAAAACCAAAAAAAGAAGUGAUUUACCCUCUUUCUAAGUUGGUUAAGGGUUACAUUACUCUUUGAACUAACACGGUGCUUAGUUGCCCAUGCAUUGAUUGCUUGACAUCAUUGCUUACAGGCACGGAUUUAAGGGGGGGCUGGUGGGGGCUUAAGCCCCCCCCCCAAGCCGCCGGAAAACCCCCUAUAUAUAGGGGAUUCCAAAUGCUUGCUUCUAAAAUGCAGUAGGUAACUAGGUAGGUAGGUAGGUACUACCUUUCUCUUCCUAUGUGUCUCUUAGGAUACUGGUAUUAUUGUCUGAAAUUUUCAAUAGUUAUUUAUGUUUUCACCUACUGGUGAUGUAAUAACUUGGAUUUUCCUAAAAUGUUUUGAGCAGGUCUGAACUCUGUAGUUAUUCAUCAUAUAUUCUGGACUUUGUUAGAGCCUGUGAGACUCGGAAACAUAGAGCCUGGGAAACAUAGCCUUUUUUUUUAUUUCAGAUGUUUGGUUGUUGGCAAAGUAUUUUUUGUGCAUCGCUGUCAUGAACUAUAUGGUGGAGUGGGCUUUCUUUUGUUGAUCAAGAAGCUUGCCAACAAUAGUUGUUGGUGCUGUUUUAAAUGUAUGUUCUGGAACAAAGAAUGCUGUAAAUGUAUUUCCUGGAAUUUAGAAAAGUUCUUGAUUUAACGCUUAUGACAUCCCUUGCACUUCAAGAAGAAUUAAAUUUGCAAUUACUAUCAAAGUUUUCCUGCUAUUUCGCUUUUUGACCGCCUUAGUUUUUUAUUUUAUUUCGAAUUCUGAUCAUGAAAUCAAUAAGCAGGGUGAGUGAUAGAUUAUUGAUAGUUUAGAGUAUUUUUUUGGAGCAUUUUGAGAUUUCCAAGAACUUAUCAAAUUCAUAUGAAAGGGGCAAUUUUUAAACUAUUUUAGUAUGCGAUGGGCAAUUCUUAAACUAUUUUUGUGAGCGGUUUAUGCCUCCGAAUACUAUACAUAUCUUGAUAGGCCUUCUGUUUUCGUUGUUUCUUUUGUAGAUUUGUAGAUUUGGGUAAGUUACAUACCCAAAAAUUCAGAACAAAUUUUUGGGUAUGUAUAAUUAUAUGUUUUUAUUAUUUUUAUAAUUAUUGAUUCUAAAUUUUACUUAUUAAAUAUAUUUAUUUCGUCACAAAAAAAAAUUUUUAAUACACUUCAGCCCCCCCAAAAAUAAAUUUCUGGCUCCGUCCCUGAUUGCUUAACAUUCUAACUAUAUUGAAUAAUAUUUCUUGAUAUGCAAAUCACAGAAUUAUAUGUAUAUCAUCACAUUUUAAAACACUAAAUCCACUAAAAGGAGGCUAAAAACACGCUAUUGUUUUGUUCGGCCAUGUGAUUCGGAUACCCAAGGAAACGUAGUUCAAGAACAUUAAAAAAAAAAAACCAUAGGUACUACUAAAUUGCAAAGCUUGUAUAGCUUGGAAUGAAAUGGACUUGAAAGGGUUUCAUAGCCAUAUAGGUUUUUGAACCUUUGUCAUUAAUAGCACAUACUUAACAUCCUCCGAUUGAAUAACUAUGGAGAAAUCCCAGAAUGAUAUGCAAAUCACAUUCUAAACUUGCAUGUUUAAACCCCUAAUAAGACAUAAUUGCUUGUCCUGCGUAGGGUCAAAUGCUCUUCAAUUAGUAUACACAAUAAUGUUAUCCCUAUAUUAGUAGACAAGAUUUUCCCAACAUGCAGUAGGACUCUAUAAUUGAUGUAUCACAUAUGUGCACUAAGAAACCCCGGCCGCAAACUGUACUAAUAAAAUUCUAACUUUAGUUAAUUACUCCAACGCUUUAGUCACCUUUACUUGUAUGUAUACUCAAGCAACCUAAUUAGUAAGGUAAAGAAUGAAGGUUUAACUAGUUUAUUUUUAAUCAUGUUCUGUAAUCCCUUUUGCUGGCUUACCUCCCUCAAGAGCUUACCAUUUUAUAGAAUUUGACAACACUUCCUUUCAAACGGAAGAAUUGGAUCGACGUACACAAAUAUUUAUAGACAAAUGGCAAAGUGAUAAAAAAUUUACUAAAAAUGAGUAUGCCAUACUUAUACCCCUUUAUAGUUUCCAUAUGUGUUGAAAUUUUGGAUGUCAUAUAGUUAGAUAUCUUUUUUAAAAACCAAAUAUUUUCUUUUGUUAAAUAGGGAAAGGGUGAGAUUUAAGAAGCGGGAUAGAGACAAGAGAAUUUGAACCCGAGGCCUCUAAUUCUCGGGCAUCUUAUAUGUACUUAUUUCUUAAAUUUCAGGUUAAUCAAUCAAAUGUAGAAUGAUAAUUUGUCCAAAAAUUGUAAAAUCGCAUACCCUUAAAAGAGAUUUAUAACUGCCUUUUUUUUUAAUUUUCUAUAUACAUAUAUAUAUAUAAACUUAAAAUUUUAACUGAUCUAACUUUAAAAUCAUCCCAUGAUGAUCAUGAAAGUUAUAAUUUAGUGGUAUAUGUCUUUUUAUACGUUCCCUAUGUACUCAAAACUACAAAGUGACACACUGUCCAGUAGAAGUAUGCAUAUAUGCACAUUUUAAUGUAUUUGCGAGGAUAGAUUAAUGCUUCGCCUGCAUGGCUAUCAACACCCAAAAAUGCAGUUCAAAUUUCAAAAAAUGCCCAAUUCUCCAGUAAAAUUCACCCGUGAUGCUUAACAAGUCGCAGAACAUUUAACUCUACACCCCCGUGAUAGAAAGGCUUUAUAGUGGUUAGAAGAUACAUCAUCAUUUUCAUUGAAUUUGGCAAAACCCUUUAUUCACUUUCAUUGAAAAGUAUACAUCAUGCAUCAAUUUCAUCCUUUCAUGAUUUCAACUUGUCUGUAACUGAGAAGAAACCACAAAUUUUAGCCUACAAGAUUACUCUGCUUACCCAUGUGGCAAUUAAUGUGGUCCACAAGGGAUUUGUCCACAAGUUUGUACAAAGUUUUCUUAUUGGUGAUAUGAGUUGGAGAUUGAUAGAUUCCAUUAAAGAUUGUUGGGAUAGCAUUUAAUAUUACAGGUAUGGAAGAAUGGAAUGCUGUCAUUCUAGAGAUGGAAAUGUAACAUGUCCACAUGAGGGCUUGUCCACAACUUUCAUGAAUUUUAAUAUUUUUGAAACUUAUGUUCUUUAGGUUUGUUCACAAGAUUUCUCAUGUGGGUGUUACUUGUUUGAAUGAAGUUUCAUACCUUGCAUAAAGAAAUAUUUUUAAUAUUUAUCUCCUUAUAUGUGAAUUUUAUACUAGUAUUCUGUACUUCUAUUCUCGCCUAUAUGAAAGACUAUUCAGCACUAUCUCAAAAAAAAAAAAAAAAAAGUUUGCGUUUGUUUACUUAAAGAGGAGAAUAAUUUAAACGCAAUCAACUUAUAACUUGAGAUUUAUGAAUCAUGAGGGCCAAAUCUACUCAUUUGGAUCUCAGGGGUAUAUUCAGCUUCAAGUAUACUAUAGAUCAUUAGCUGGCUUAACAAAAUGGAAUUCUUCGUAUCUUGUUUGAAUCUGAAAUCAUUAAAUAAUGCAUAGCGAAUUUUAUUAAGUUAUGAAAGGUAGUUUGACUUUGCUAAACAAAUUACUGAAAAUCAUUGUGUUCUUUUUCCACUAUUUCCAGUUGGCCAAAACUCAGGCUUGAAAUUUUUUUUGUUUUUAUUGGUUUUGAGUCCACCUUUGCUAGCUCCAUCAAAAUCCACUGUACUAUUUCGCUAGUCUUUAUCAACCACCUUCUUUUUCUUUCUGAUUAAUGACCAAUUUGAACAUAGAAGUUCUUUCUAUCCUUACUAAUGAAUCUUGUGUCUUUGCUAGAGCAAAUUUGCAAAUUGCAAAUUGCUUGAAAAUUAAACCGAGUGUUGGAUGAUCAUCAAACUGACCUUCUGAUUUUUAUUGAAAGUACACAACUCGUUUAGUCCUUUUCCAUUUUUAAGAAAAAAUACCGUAUGGUGGGAGGUCCUUUUUUUUUUUUUUUGAGGCUUUGAACCAGGACUUCUUAGUUACAAUCUCUCCGACCGUAUAAGAACAUUUAUAUGUAAUCUGAUUCAAAGCCUAAACGUCCAUUUACUGCAAACACAAGUGUAUGCAUACUUCUAUACUUGUAUAUUACUGAUAAAAAAGCAGUUACCAAAGUUCAAAUUGAACUUGGGCAGAAAUCUCGUUUAGAGUUGUAUGAAACAUCAUAUUUUUGUUGAUUACUCAUUUCAAGCCUUUAUGACAAGCACUGUUGUCAUUUGGUCAGCAAAAAAUUAGAUCUAAUUAGUGGUCUAUCGUUGCCAACUGAACCAACUUGUAUUGGCGUACUAUUUGUUACGUAGCUUCAAUAUGUGAAGCCCAAGUUGCAAGCUGGAAUUAAGCUGAAUUCAAAUUAGGAAAACGAUAAGCCCUUUGGUCCACAUGUCAAAGGAACAAUAAAUUCUGAUGUGUGUCACAUGUAAUGCCUAAUGAACGUUCAAAAAUAGGUGGGCAGAAAGUUGCAUUCAUGGUUCUCACGGAUGACAGAGGAAUCUAGUUCCAGAUGGUCAUUCAUUUCGGCAAAUAGGGACUUGCCUAAAUUCAGUUACAUGUAAAGUUGGAAAGACUUAUGUCACAUCACCAGCUGAGCUCUGCAAUGCCAAGGGAAACUGUGUCCAUGUGAAUUCCAUCUCAUGAUUAGUCAGUGUAACAAAAAAAGAGUUUUAAUGGUUUAGCAACUGAUGGUAAAAUGAACCUAGGAGUCAGGGUGUAGGCCAAAUUUCAACUUUUGCUGGCUUGUAAUGGUGAGAAGAAAGAAAAAGAUUGCCUUGAACCUUCUAUAUUAUUCACAAGGGAAAUUAUCAACAACCAAUGCAGAAGGGAAAUCACCAACCUUUCUAUAGUUAUGCAGCAAGCAGAGUAGGCAAAUGCACAUUCUAGGCAACUAGCAAUGUUAAGCAAUCUGCACGAAACAUCUCAAAAGAGGAACAAUCGUGUGUAUCAGUUAGACUGCAGAUUUUCAUUUUUUUUUUCUUUGUGCAAUGUUGUAGAAAGUCAGAAAAUGAAUUGAAGCACAAUUAUAGGAACGGUAUGAAAGUUAAGGGUUUCCAGAAAAGGAUCACCAUUUACAUUGUUUAAUAGAAUUAUUCCAAUGAUUUGGCGUCCAUAAAACAAUGAGAGGAGAAGAAUGCUAACUAGCGAUCUGUUUUGUCUAACUUUCUCAUCUAAAAUACUCUUUUCUGAUAUAUGCCUGGUUGAAUGUGAAAGUUUCAUGAUCGCUUCGGCUGCUGGUGAUUACUAGCAUGAAAACCUUCUGU